rnacentral:lncRNA from 1 species
CCAAGGUUUGUCAUCAUAAAAAGGGGGAGAUUGUUAGCCCAAGGGUGCCCCUAAUCGGGUCUUGAUGAUAACAACCCAUGGUUAAGUGACUAAUUGUUUUAAAUGUUUAAGCAUCUCAGGUAUAAACUCGAAAAUUCAUCAAAGGACCAAAUGGAUACAUGAUCGAGACGCUUGGAAGACUUGAGAUCAUAGGAAAUGAAUGUAAGAUGAUAGCAUGAGUGCACUUAGGAUGUUCAAACUUUUUCAUGCAUCUUAGAAAACUCGCUUUAUUCUUUAAAACUUAAUUUUCUUUAAAACCCGAGUUUUAUCAAACAUACCUUAGGCAAAUUGAUUCAAAAGUGGCAUAUUAAUUCACCUAAAGACCUUGCCUAAGUAGUAGAAAAGAAAGAAAUUUCAAAAGGAAGGUUUUCGGGGCCAAAAAGCUCAACCGGUCGAGGCUAUGGCCAAUCGGCUCAACCGGGUAGGAAAUCGGUCGACCGGUUGACCCUGUCCGGUCGAGAAUCGAUCGACGAGUGUCAAAAACCCUCUCUCUCAUCCAGUAGCCUUUUCUUCCUAGUUGAGGUUCACACCCUUCCCGGUCGAUGUACGGUCGAGGCAACGCAAACCUGUCAUGCAUUAAAUGCUCCAACGGCUAGUGAACCGGUCGACCCUUACAUCGACCGGACGAGGUUGCCUUUUGCUAUUUUUGACUCCCGAGCUUAGAAACCUAUAAAUUGAGAGCUCCACUUCAUUUAUGACUAAACAUAACAAUUUUUUUGUAAUUAAAAAAAAAAAUUUGAACACAUAUUCCUGAACUUCGAAACUCCUCAGGGCAUUCCCUUCAAGGGAAAAAUCUCAACCCAAUAAAAUUCUACACUUCAAUUCUAGUUGAGUCGAGCCACCUACAUGGUGCCUUGUGUGUGUAUACCCAUGUGCUACCACCCUUAUGUCACAAUUGAGCCACUACCUGACACCCCUUGCAUUGACAAGCUGCUUAGCAUCAUAGGCAUCCCUACUUGCCAUCUUAUUUUGAAUAUGGCAUGUCAACCUGCAUGUGAUAGGUAGUCAUGGGUGUAAGCUGGCAUCACAUGAGGCCUUGACACCACAUCAACUUAAUCAAGGUGUUGAUGCUUGGCCAUUAUGUGAGAAGUUUUGGAAAUUGACCCUAAGCCAGCCAGCCAGCUAGCCAGGGACUAUGGUUGAACUUAGUCUUUCUUGGCUGAGUUUUCAUUUUUCUCCAGCUUAGGUUUUCUUUAUAGGAUGUGAAAAAUGGUGAAUCUGUGCUUCCCUCAUUUGGUUCUAUUGAAAUGCUAUGACAUGGCAAGUCCAUAUUGUAUGUGCCAUCUUGUGGAUAUAAUAUAUAUAUAUAUAUAUAUAUAUAUAUAUAUAUAUAUAUAUAUAUAUUUUAGUUUUGACGGUUGCAUGGGGUUUUAGAAACUUUAAUGAAGAUGAAUGGUAACGGUCGUGUGUGAUCCAAAUCUACAUUAGGGCUCAUUUUUUAAAAAUAAUGGAAGAUGCAUUGCUAGUGGAUUUGUCUCCAAAUCUGUUGGAUAAACUGUGCAGGAAUGCAACAUUAAAGAAAUUGCUGAUGAAGAUGAACCCCCACCAAAAAGUUCCAAAAAUAAAAAGGAAAAUGGACCAGAGAAAUCACCGAGUCUUGUCUUCAAAAUAACCAGAAAAGUUCCAUAUAAGACAGUUCUGAAAGGUACGUUAUUAUUCUUUUGACUGUACUUCUAGUCCUGCUUGUGGACUGUUGUCAUUUUCCCCUCUCCUAUUUAAUUACAAGUGAUUUUACACUUAAAUUUUCCAUUUAUCAUGCAGUUCACAGUGCUGUUAUGUUAAAGGCUGAGAGCAUAGCGGAUAAGGCUGAGUGGUUAAACAAAUUGAGAAAUGUUAUUCAGCCUUCAGGUCAAGUGAAGGGUGAAUCUGGUCUUACCAUGCGACAAAGUCUUUCUGAUGGUUCUCUUGUGAGUCCUUUUGAAAUGUUUUUUCCUUUUCUUUUUGGCACAAUUCUAUAGCACAACUAGUUGCUUUGGAGCUUACCUGCAUUUGGUCUUCUGUGUUUCUUGAUAUAAUUGUGGUUAAUUUAGAACUUUGGUGCUUCUGCCAUCUUUGACUUCUAUACUGGUCCCAGAACAUAAAUUCUAUAGUUCACAUUUUUUCAUUUGUUAUUAGGUCUUUUGUGGUUACUGUUUGGCUGCCUUGAAAAUUUUAUAGGAUACAAUGGCCAGAAGAACUACAGAUCCAGAAGAAGAGCUCCGUUGGAUGUCUCAAGAAGUGCGUGGUUAUGUUGAAGCUGUUCUGAACAGCCUUGCUGCCAAUGUCCCAAAAGUUGGUUUGUUUUCUUAAAUCCAUUAUGAUUCAUGUAUUUUGUUGCUUAUGUAGUUCUCUUAGUAUUCUUUAUUACCUUUGAGCAGGCAGUUGUCCUUUGCCAAGUAGAAAAAUCCAAGGAAGAUAUGCUUAAUCAGUUAUACAGUUCUGUCAUGUUGGUACUCUUUGCCAUAUGGAAACACACAAUUCUCUAAAUACCUUAAUAUAUAUGUUAUCAAAAAGAGGAAAUAUGAAUGCUUUACUAUCGGAAUACUUUUGGUUGUUUGUGUUGGUAAAUUUUUUUAUAAAUAACAGAAACUCUCAGAGGAAGUGGCCAAGAGGGUACAAAUCAUGUAAAAGUGAGUGAAUACUCAGAUUAGGGAAACUAAAACAGAACAUAUAAGAGAGAAGGCAAUUUAGAACUCCCUAGACCCUCUUGCUACCCAAACAGCUAAUCAGCUCUAGAAAUAUUGUCUCCUAGGAGGCCAGCAUUUAUGUUGGGAUGCAACACAUCUGCUAGGCAAUAAAGAUGGGAGUAAGGAGUAAGGACUAGCCACAUUUAGAAUCCUUCAAUGAUUCAUCCUGCUCUCAUAUUUUCCACCUUAGUUAUAUUGCACCUCAUAAAAUCAAUUCCAAGAAAUCUCCCGCCACCUCUAAUUCCCUUUAACCUUCGCUUCUUAUUAGAUAAAGAGUUUGAAGAGUGGAUGUUAUUUUUAAGGAGAAGGGUAACUAGAAAUGAUGAUUAUUUGAGUGCUUGUUUCUUGUCUUGCUCCUCUGUUUGAAGGACCAAACUUCAAAGGUUAAGUUGUUUGUUUUUUAUGAAUUAUCUAUAGUGAUGUAGUUUUCUAUAGAUGUUGAGUUUGCCGAACCUAGUUUAUUAUGAAGAGUCGUAUUAGGGUGCGAGGCAUAAGCAAAAGUUAACGUGGAGACCUUGGUUGUUAAGGGCUUGGUUCGUGAUUAUGCAACUCUUUUGAGAUCUAUACAUGAUAAGGUUGGGUUUUUUAAGGAUCACAUUACUAUUGUUUGGUGUUUGAUGUGAGCUUGUCUAUGGGUAAGCCUAUGUCUUGAUCUAUGUUGGGAAUAGUAACAAAGAGGAAUCUUCACAUUCCUCGUACCCUCCCAAUUCUCCACUUCUUUGGAGUAUUUUAAAUUUUUUGGGACAUCAUAUGGUUUGGAUGUUGUUUAAAUAGGUUCGUUACACUUGGAAGGUGGUCAAAUGAUUUCCGAAAAAAUCCAAAUCCAAAAAUACUCAAAAAUUCACAAGGGUACGAAGAAUGUGAGGAAUCCUCACAUUGUUCGUACCCUCCAAAUUCUCCACUUCUUUGGAGUUUUUAAAAUUUUUUGGGACAUCAUAUAGAUUGGAUAUUGUUUAAAUAGGUUCAUUACACAUAGGAGGUGGUGAAAUGAUUUCCGGGAAAAUCCAAAUCCAAAAAUACUAAAAAAUUCACAAGGGUACGAAGAAUGUGAGGAAUCCUCACAUUGUUCGUACUCUCCCAAUUCUCCACUUCUUUGGAGUUUUUAAAAUUUUUUGGGACAUCAUAUGGCUUGGAUGUUGUUUAAGUAGGUUUGUUACACUUAGGAGGUGGUGAAAUGAUUUCCGGAAAAAUCCAAAUCCAAAAAUACUAAAAAAUUCACAAGGGUACGAAGAAUGUGAGGAAUCCUCACAUUGUUCGUACCUUCCAUAUUCUCCACUUCUUUAGAGUUUUUAAAAUUUUUUGGGACAUCAUAUGGUUUGGAUGUUGUUUAAAUAGGUUCGUUACACUUGGAAGGUGGUAAAAUGAUUUCCGAAAAAAUCCAAAUUCAAAAAUACUCAAAAAUUCACAAGGGUACGAAGAAUGUGAGGAAUCCUCAUAUUGUUCGUACCCUCCCAAUUCUCCACUUCUUUGGAGUUUUUAAAAUUUUUUGGGACAUCAUAUGGCUUGGAUAUUGUUUAAAUAGGUUCAUUACACAUAGGAGGUGGUGAAAUGAUUUCCGGAAAAAUCCAAAUCCAAAAAUACUAAAAAAUUCACAAUGGUACGAAGAAUGUGAGGAAUCCUUACAUUCUUCAUAAUCUCCCAAAUCUCCACUUCUUUGGAGUUUUUAAAAUUUUUUGGGACAUCAUAUGGCUUGGAUAUUGUUUAAAUAGGUUCAUUACACUUAGGAGGUGGUGAAAUGAUUUUCGGAAAAAUUGAAAUCCAAAAAUACUAAAAAAUUCAGAAGAGUACGAAGAAUGUGAGGAAUCCUCACAUUCUUCAUACCCUCCCAAUUCUCCACUUCUUUAGAGUUUUUUAAAUUUUUUGGGACAUCAUAUGGUUUGGAUGUUGUUUAAAUAGGUUCUUUACACUUGGAAGGUGGUCAAAUGAUUUCCAAAAAAAUCCAAAUCCAAAAAUACUCAAAAAUUCACAAGGGUACGAAGAAUGUGAGGAAUCCUCACAUUGUUCGUACCCUCCCAAUUCUCCACUUCUUUGGAGUUUUUAAAAUUUUUUGGGACAUCAUAUGGCUUGGAUACUGUUUAAAUAGGUUCAUUACACAUAGGAGGUGGUGAAAUGAUUUCCGGGAAAAUCCAAAUCAAAAAAUACUAAACAAUUCACAAGGGUAUGAAGAAUGUGAGGAAUCCUUACAUUGUUCGUACCCUCCCAAUUCUCCACUUCUUUGGAGUUUUUAAAAUUUUUUGGAGAUCAUAUGGCUUGGAUAUUGUUUAAAUAGGUUCAUUACACAUAGGAGGUAGUGAAAUAAUUUCCGAGAAAAUCCAAAUCCAAAAAUACUAAAAAAUUCACAAUGGUACGAAGAAUGUGAGGAAUCCUUACAUUCUUCGUACCCUCCCAAUUCUCCACUUCUUUGGAGUUUUUAAAAUUUUUUGGGACAUCAUAUGGCUUGGAUAUUGUUUAAAUAGGUUCAUUACACAUAGGAGGUAGUGAAAUGAUUUCCGGAAAAAUCCAAAUCCAAAAAUACUAAAAAAUUCACUAUGGUACGAAGAAUGUGAGGAAUCCUUACAUUCUUCGUACCCUCCAAAAUCUCCACUUAUUUGGAGUUUUUAAAAUUUUUUGGGACAUCAUAUGGCUUGGAUAUUGUUUAAAUAGGUUCAUUAUACUUAGGAGGUGGUGAAAUGAUUUUCGGAAAAAUCGAAAUCCAAAAAUACUAAAAAAUUCAGAAGAGUACGAAGAAUGUGAGGAAUCCUCAAAUUCUUCGUACCCUCCCAAUUCUCCACUUGUUUGGAGUUUUUUAAAUUUUUUGGGACAUCAUAUGGUUUGGAUGUUGUUUAAAUAGGUUCGUUACACUUGGAAGGUGGUCAAAUGAUUUCCGAAAAAAUCCAAAUCCAAAAAUACUAAAAAAUUCACAAGGGUACGAAGAAUGUGAGGAAUCCUCACAUUGUUCGUACCCUCCCAAUUCUCCACUUCUUUGGAGUUUUUAAAAUUUUUUGGGACAUCAUAUGGCUUGGAUAUUGUUUAAAUAGGNNNNNNNNNNNNNNNNNNNNNNNNNNNNNNNNNNNNNNNNNNNNNNNNNNNNNNNNNNNNNNNNNNNNNNNNNNNNNNNNNNNNNNNNNNNNNNNNNNNNUUUAAAUAAGUUCAGUACACAUAGGAGGUGGUGAAAUGAUUUCCGGAAAAUCCAAAUCCAAAAAAUACUAAAAAAUUCACAAGGGUACGAAGAAUGUGAGGAAUCCUUACAUUGUUCGUACCCUCCCAAUUCUCCACUUCUUUGGAGUUUUUAAAUUUUUUUGGGGACAUCAUAUGGCUUGGAUAUUGUUUAAAUAGGUUCAUUAUACUUAGGAGGUGGUGAAAUGAUUUUCGGAAAAAUCGAAAUCCUAAAAUACUAAAAAAUUCAGAAGAGUACGAAGAAUGUGAGGAAUCCUCAAAUUCUUCGUACCCUCCCAAUUCUCCACUUGUUUGGAGUUUUUUAAAUUUUUUGGGACAUCAUAUGGUUUGGAUGUUGUUUAAAUAGGUUCGUUACACUUGGAAGGUGGUCAAAUGAUUUCCGAAAAAAUCCAAAUCCAAAAAUACUAAAAAAUUCACAAGGGUACGAAGAAUGUGAGGAAUCCUCACAUUCUUCGUACCCUCCCAAUUCUCCACUUCUUUGGAGUUUUUAAAAUUUUUUGGGACAUCAUAUGGCUUGGAUAUUGUUUAAAUAGGUUCGUUACACAUAGGAGGUGGUGAAAUGAUUUCCGGAAAAAUCCAAAUCCAAAAAUACUAAAAAAUUCACAAGGGUACGUAGAAUGUGAGGAAUCCUCACAUUGUUCGUACCCUCCCAAUUCUCCACUUCUUUGGAGUUUUUAAAAUUUUUUGGGACAUCAUAUGGCUUGGAUAUUGUUUAAAUAAGUUCAUUACACUUAGGAGGUGGUGAAAUGAUUUCCGGAAAAAUCCAAAUCCAAAAAUACUCAAAAAUUCAAAAGGGUACGAAGAAUGUGAGGAAUAUCUUUCACAACGUAAAAUUCCCAAAAAAUAUGAGAGGGGGUGAGGAUUUCCAUAUUGUUAGUAAUUAAACCANNNNNNNNNNNNNNNNNNNNNNNNNNNNNNNNNNNNNNNNNNNNNNNNNNNNNNNNNNNNNNNNNNNNNNNNNNNNNNNNNNNNNNNNNNNNNNNNNNNNCAAAUCCAAAAAUAUUAAAAAAUUCACAAGGGUACGAAGAAUGUGAGGAAUCCUCACAUUGUUCGUACCCUCCCAAUUCUCCACUUCUUUGGAGUUUUUUUAAAAUUUUUUGGGACAUCAUAUGGCUUGGAUAUUGUUUAAAUAGGUUCAUUACACUUAGGAGGUGGUGAAAUGAUUUCCGGAAAAAUCCAAAUCCAAAAAUACUAAAAAAUUCACAAGGGUACGAAGAAUGUGAGGAAUCCUCACAUUCUUCGUACCCUCCCAAUUCUCCACUUCUUUGGACUUUUUAAAAUUUUUUGGGACAUCAUAUGGCUUGGAUGUUGUUUAAAUUAGUUUGUUACACUUGGUAGGUGAUCAAAUGAUAUCCGGAAAAAUCCAAAUCCAAAAAUACUAAAAAAUUCACACGGGUACGAAGAAUGUGAGGAAUUCUCAUAUGCUUCGUACCCUCCAGAUUCUCCACUUGUUUGAAGUUUUUAAACUUUUUUGGAACUUAAUAUGGCUUGGAUAUUGUUUAAAUAAGUUCAUUAUACUUAGGAGGUGGUCAAAUGAUUUCCAGAAAAAUCCAAAAAGACUCAAAAAUUCAGUACAUUUUGAGGGUGUGAAAUGGAUCGAAAAAUUCAAAAUGGAAAUUUACCAAAAAAAUAUGUGAGGGGUUUGGAUUUCCAUAUUGUUAGUAAUUAUACAUUUUUCGUAUUUUCAAUAUUUCAACCAAUUUUUUUGAAAAGCUAAGAAAUAAUUUAAUCAUAUAUUCUCAAUUAAUAAUUAGUACACAACUAAUUCAAUUUUAAUUUAAUAUAUAUUUUAUAAAAUUUAGUUCUAGUUUUCUCAUUUUUUUUAACUUCAUAAACCAAUUAUAUUGAUUUUCACACUUCAAAUAUUCGUCAAAUUUUUGUCAACAAAUUAUUUGAUGUUAAAAUAAAUUAAAUUUACUUUUCCUUAAUUUAUAAAUUAUAUCACCAAAUUCUUUAUAAUUUUUUUUAUUUAUUUUAAAUUUAAUUUUUAUGUGGGGUCUAAUCACUUUAUAGUACAAAAAUAAAUAAACUCUAAUUUAUUUUUUCAAAAUUUUCUUUAUUUUUCUGUUUCAUAAAAAAAAUUUCCUAAACAAAAUAAUUACAUUAAACAAAUUUAUAAUUGGUUAAUGUAAUAAAUGUAACAAUGUGUGUUGCAUGGGAUUAUUUCCCAUGGCAACCGGUUGGAUGACUUGAAAAAGAGGUUUUGUUUUUUUUUUUCUUUAAUUUAGCAUGCCAUAUGUCUCUACCCUAUUAGCCCAAAAAAGUGGGUAAAAGUGCUUUUCGGUACCGUAGCAAGACCCUAAAAGCAAAUACAUCCAGAAGAAAACCGAACAGUACUAUUGUCUGCUCUUCCUACGUGUGAAUGGACAGUCAUGACUGUAUAAAUACUCUCAGAAAUCACGCUGAUUCACAACAUCCAGUCAUGGCAUCUCCUCUGCAGUCUCUCCUCACCUUUCCCUCCCUCUUCUUCCUACUUUUCUCUCUUUUCCUUUUCAUUAUUUUCUUAAGAAAUUUUUCAAGAAAACUCCCAUAUCCACCAGGGCCCAAAGGCCUGCCGAUCAUCGGAAAUAUGUUGAUGAUGAAUCAACUCACCCACCGGGGACUAGCCAAUCUCAGCAAGGUGUACGGUGGCCUGCUGCAUAUGAAGAUGGGAGUCUUGCACUUAGUGGUCGUGUCCACCCCGGAGAUGGCUCGUGAAGUUCUCCAGGUGCAGGACAGUGUUUUCGCCAACCGGCCAGCCAGGGUUGCGAUAAAAUAUCUGACAUAUGAUAGAGCGGACAUGGCCUUCGCUCAAUACGGACCCUCUUGGCGGCAGAUGAGGAAGAUUUGUGUGAUGAAGCUCUUCAGUCGAAAACGGGCUGAGUCUUGGGCGUCAGUGAGGGAGGAGGUGGAUUCAACGCUUCAAAGUAUCGCCAAGAGAGGUGGGUCUGCUGUUAAUAUUGGUGAAUUGGCGUUGGACCUUACCAAGAAUAUAACGUACAGGGCUGCGUUCGGGUCGAGUUCGCGCGAAAAACAGAAGGAGUUCGUGAAGAUUUUGCAGGAGUUCUCGAGGCUUUUUGGGGCUUUCAACUUUGCAGAUUUUAUACCCUGGCUGGGUUGGAUUCAAGGGAAGGAGUUCACUAAGCGGCUGGUCAAGGCUCGAGGAUCACUUGAUGAGUUCAUCGAUAAAAUCAUCGACGGUCACAUUGAAAAGAGGAAGAAGCAGAAUAACAGCGGAGAUGAAAGUGAAAGUGAAGCAGAGUUGGACAUAGUGGACGAGUUAAUGGAGUUUUACAGCAAAGAUGUUGCAGCGGAAGACUUGAAUUCUUCAAUCAAGUUCACAAGGGAUAACAUCAAAGCUAUCAUUAUGGUAAGAGAUUCGCAAAAAUCAGCCACUGAAAAAUUAUUUUGUCUUGUUUCAAAACUUUCAUCUAAUAAAUCCAAACAUUAGAACUGUACUUUUCCUUUGACCCACUUUUUUUUAUAAAUGAAAAAAGGCAUUCAAGUGGGAUGGUUUUGGCUUAAAUUGGUGUUAUCACAGGACGUGAUGUUUGGUGGAACAGAAACUGUGGCAUCGGCAAUCGAGUGGGCAAUGGCGGAGCUCAUGAAAAGCCCAGAUGAUCUGAAGAAACUGCAGCAAGAAUUAAUAGAUGUGGUGGGCUUGAACCGAAGGUUACACGAGUCCGAUCUGGAGAAGCUCACCUACCUCAAGUGCUGCAUCAAGGAAACCCUCCGGCUCCACCCUCCAAUCCCAGUCCUCCUCCACGAGACCGCCGAGGACAGUGUGGUGGCCGGAUACUCAGUCCCAGCACGCUCAGAUGUCAUGAUCAACGCCUGGGCUAUAAACCGAGACAAGACCGCCUGGGAGGAUCCGGAGACGUUCAAGCCAGAGAGGUUUCUGAAGGACGCACCUGAUUUCAAAGGGAGCCACUUUGAGUUCAUUCCAUUUGGGUCCGGCCGGCGGUCGUGCCCGGGUAUGCAGCUUGGGCUGUAUGGAUUGGAUCUGGCUGUGGGUCACCUUGUUCAUUGUUUUAGCUGGGAACUGCCUGAUGGAAUGAAGGCUAGUGAUCUGGAUAUGAGCGAUGUGUUUGGACUCACUGCUCCGAGGGCGAUACAGCUGAUCGCAGUGCCGACUUAUCGCCUGCAGUGUCUGCUCCUUGAGUGAAAAGGAGAAGAAGAUCGUGUUGGUGAUGGAGGCCUGUAAUGAUAUUAAUUUUCUCUUCUAUCUACAAUAAAUAUGCAUGUAUUUUGAAUUUUAGAUCUCUAAGACUUGGUUUGUUUAUGCUUCAAUAUUAAAAAUAAAUUUUGAGAAUAAUUUUUAAAAAUAGUUUAUAAUAAAUUUUUGGAAUAUUUUGAAUAUUAUCAUCUUUUUUUUUAUUUGUAAUAAUUUAUUUUUUCAUAUUUAUAUAAUUGUUCUCUUAGAAUAGCCAACAAUUGAAAUUGGUCAAAUAUGUUGUCGGAGGGGUACUUAUUUAUAAUAUAAAAGGUUUAAAAUUAUUUUCAUAUUCUUAAUUAUUACCCUUAAAAUUUGGAAAACCUAUUUUUUUAAUUUUUAUUAUCAAGCAUAUUCUUAAUUUCUUAAACUCGUUUCACUUAUUAGUCAUUUUCUAUAUAAAGAUUAAAUAAUUUUAGAAUGUAUAAAUUAAUAACUUUGGAUACUAGAUCUGGCCUCAAAAGGUCAAGGUCGGCCAGUGAGACGAUGGGGGAUAAGCUUCAUCGUCGAGAAGAAAAUAGCCCAUGAUCUAAUAAUGAACCAUUCUGAUUAGUUGAUAAUAUUAGUUGAGAAUUUUUUGAAAGAUUCCUAUGAAAAGUUUCAUUAACACCUAAUUCAUGUCGAGUAGACCUUGUUUUGUUGUUGUGAGAAUUCUUAAUUCGUGAAUUGUUAAUUUUAAUUAUAUUUCAUUAAGAUACAAACUAUACUGAUCAUAGAUAAUGCAAGUGACAAUAUAAACAAUAAUAUAAAUUACAAAUAAGUAAAGAGGAUAAGAAAAAGAGAAAUGCAAAUUCAAAAUUUGGAAGUGGUUAGGCUCAACCACACUUACAUUCACUUAUAUUUUUUAAGCAGAGCGCACUUAAAAACUCUUUUUUAAAGCUCAAGUAAAGUUCAAUAAAGAUUUGAAACUCAAUACAUGAUUUUAAAGCUUUUAAACAGGAGUUGAAAACCCAGAGUAGCAUAUUAGGCAUAGUAUAUUUUGAAAAACCACUUAUAAUAUAUUUUAGAGAGAUAUUUUAUAGUUAAAAUGUAUUUAAUAGUGAUUUUAGAAAACGUUUUUAGUUUUUCUAAUAUUUGAAUGAUAAAAAAUUUUAAGUAUUAAAAAAGUUAAAAACAAUUUCUAAAAUUACUGUUUAGAUCGAGCCUUUAAUUAUCCAAAAACACUUUUGAAAAAAAAACACUUUCAAAAAAAUUACUUGAAUGAAAAACACUAGAAACGCUUUUGAAAAAAGACACUUUCACAAAAAUUACUUGGAAUGAAAAAUACUAGGAGGAAUCAAUUGAAACAAUUGAAGAUGACAAGCACCAUCAUAGAAAACAAAUAAAUGCUUCAUACCCUCUUUCGAGAUUUAAAUCUAGACGGUGGCCUGCAGUGAUCUUGUCCAUCUCAUGCCUAUUUCAUAGGGAAAUAACAUUUGAUGCGGUGAAUGUGAAAAAGAGAAGGCAGAACUUAAACCCACACAAAAUGCAAACCUACCUCACAUCAAUGCGCAUUUUGUCUAUGUCAUUACGCAGUUUUUCAGUUUCUCGUUGCAGUAGAGAAAAAUGGUGCUCCUGCGUCAAGAUCAAAGCAUGAAUAAGAAUUAAAAAAAAUAGAUUGAUGCAAAAAUAUGAAAAGAGGCACAUAUCUCUAGAUGAAAACUCACUUAGAGUGAGUUUGACAAUGAUUUUAAGAAAUAUUUCUAGCAUUUCAAGUGUUAGAAAAGGUACAAACACUUCUGAGAAUCACUGUCAAAUGCACAAAAUCAUUUUUAAAAAGUAAAAAUAUUACUUAUAAUAUUUUUUGAAGAAACAUUUCAUAAGUAAUUCUCCUAAAAAUAUUUCAAAAGAAUGUUUCUACUAAAACCACUUGAAAGAAAAAUACUAUCAAAUUCACUCUCAGAGUUCGUUUCACAACUUUUUAAAAAACAGGUCUAACCUAAAAGAUGUUUUGAAAAAAAAAAAAUAAAUAAUUUGACAAAAUUUAAAAAAUAUUUCUAAAAAAUUUUAAAAUGACUUAUAUUGUUUCCUAAAGAAACACUCGAUUGGUGAUUCUCCCAAAAACAAAGUUAGAAGAAAUAUUUUCAUAAAAAAAACACUUCAAAGAAAAACAGUACCAAACUCAUUCCAGUCACAUCAAAUACUGCUUUAAGAAGAAAGAUUUUGGAGUUUGAUUCUAGCAUAUUAAUAUCAAUUGAAGUGUUGGAAUAUAAUCCAAACUCUAGUUUUUUUUUCCCAUUCCAAAAUGAAGAUCACAAAAUAAAACACCAAAAUUUUGAAAAUUUCAAGCAGAUGUGAAGUCCUUUGGGAAUGAUUGAUUUAUGGGAGUGGAUUUCAAAAUUGGAACCAAGGCUCUGAUUUGAUCCUAGAGUUUGGGCAUCACCAAAAUUGUAGUUGGAAUUUGUUGGACCCAAUAAUAUGAGAAUCCAUGCUGCUAGGUUUUCUAAGUUUCAAGCAGUUGUACACUUGCUCUUCAUGCAAAAAUUCCAAUUCAAUCUCCAUGUCCAAAUAACAAAAAUCAAAUAAUAAUAAUAAUAAUAAUAAUUGCAAAAUUAGAUCAAAUAAAAGAAUUAGUACCUGUGAACCUUGCACUUCCACCUUAAACUUGGAGAGAUUUGAUUCCUGUAACAUGCUAGCCUAAACAAAAAUUCAUGCUCAAAAUGAUGUGGGGUUCAAAACUAAUUAGCAAAUAAAGGAAAAAUUCAAUACCUUCUGCAAUUCUGGUUUGGAGACUCAAGAUUGAGCCAAAUUUUCCAAGGUAUCAUUUAAAACAUGGGUCAAAGCAGUCGUUACCGCCUCAGCUUGUUUUGAUGGCAUGCCCUCUGCUUCUAAACUCUUAACCUGUAAACACAUUGUGACAUAUUUCUUAGUCCUUGAAAUCAAAUCUUAGCUAACACAAUGAAAAAUGUUCUUCAAAGAUGAUUGAAAACACCAAUGUGGUGUCUGUUGAUGCCUCGCGUCCCAGGGAUCCACGCUGCUGCUAAGUGGACGCGCACUUUCAACCAAGAAUGAGUUCUGGCUCAAUCGACCCUGCAAAAGAUGUCCGGACAGGAUGUCCGAACACACCCUCCGAUGGUUUUGUUAGUCAUGGCUUAAAAGAUCAAGCUCUUGACCUCUUUUCUGGGGUAGCUUUCUUACCUUCUUCUUUGUGUGAAGGCCCUUUUAUAUAGUGUCAGAAGCUCUACUCCCCUCUUUAAUAGUGGGAAGACUUUUUGGCUUGUCAUGAUGUCCUCAAGGUGGUGGCAGAGUCAUCAUCACCUUGCAGGCGGCUCCUACGAGAAACUCCUUCCUCUUAUCCAAGACAUGUCCGACUUCAGGUGGCCCAGACCCCUCAGAGUGGACCCCUCCAAAAUGGAUCACAGUAAGAAGUGCACCUACCAUAAGGAGCAUGGACACACUACGGAGACGUGCAGGAGCCUCCAUUAUUUGGUGGAAAAGCUCAUAAACUAUAUCCACGGAGGACCACUGGAUGAGGAGUACGACUCCAAACGAAAGAGACAGAGGCUGUUGCGUGCAGCAUCAGUGCUUGAGCGCGUCAACUCUAUACGGCCUGGGAUAACUGGUAGGGGCCCCUGACCCAUAGAUGGAACAAUCAUUUUCCCCCCGAUAGAACCCACACGGAUAUUACAACCACACUGCGACGCUCUCAUCCUAUCCUUGGGGAUGGGAGACUUUGACGUGAGACGCAUCCUAGUCGACCCAGGCAACUCGGCCGAUCUUUUACAAGCGUCGGUAAUUAGUCACAUGGGACGCGAUCUAUCCGACCUUGAAAACCCUGGGCGAAUCUUGUCUGGAUUCAACGGAGCGGCGACUACCUCCUUGAGAGACAUUGUGCUGCCGGUCCAAGUAGACCCAGUCACUCUCAACGUACAAUUUUCGGUGGUACAAGAUUUAUCACCCUUCAAUGUUAUCUUGGGGCGCACAUGGCUGCACUAUAUGAAAGCCAUCCCCUCUACUUACCAUCAAAUGGUAAGCUUUCUCACUGAAGAUGGGCAAGUCGACCUAUACGGCAACCAGUUGGCCGCUCGCCAAUGCUAUCAGAUAGCGCGAGAAGUAGGGACCAGCCAGGAGGACAAACCCCUCCCUGAGCCCACCAACGCACUUAACCAAUAGCAAUUACUGAGUCCGGCGGACAAAGAUCCCCUGACAGCGGAUCCCUUGCGAACGAUACAGAUUUCGGAAGAAAGUACUCACUUCACACAUAUUAGUUCCCUUUUGACACGCGAAGAGGCAAGGAACAUCCAAGACACCCUUCGACAAAGCCAUGACGUCUUUGCAUAGGCGUAUUCUGAUAUGAAGGGAAUUCACCCCUCCAUCGUCUCUCAUAGGCUUAACGUCUUGCCAACAGCGAAACCUGUCCGACAGAGGGUCAGACGUUUUCACCCAGACAGGCAAAAACUUAUCAGGGAUGAGAUUGACAAGUUGCUGGAAGCCGGAUUCAUUAGAGAAGUGGAGUACGUAUCCGAACUGGUUGGCAAAUGUAGUAGUGGUCCCCAAAAAGGAAGGCAAAUGGCGGGUGUGCAUCGAUUACACCAACCUCAACAAUGCAUGCCCAAAAGACAGUUUCCCUCUACCGCGGAUAGACCAAAUUGUAGACUCCACCGCUGGACAAGGAAUGCUCUUUUUCUUGGAUGCCUUCUCCGGAUACCACCAAAUCCCCAUGGCCCCGGCCGACGAUGAAAAGACAGCCUUCAUAACGCCACACGGACUUUAUUGCUACAAAGUCAUGCCAUUCGGACUCAAAAACGCUGACGCUACCUAUCAGAGACUGAUGAUGAAAAUCUUCAAACUUCUGGUCGGUCGCACAAUGGAGGUAUACAUCGAUGAUAUCGUGGUUAAGAGCAAAACCCGAGGGGAACAUGCCCUCCACUUGCAAGAAGUCUUCCACCUCUUAAGGAAGUAUGGCAUGAAGCUGAAUCCAUCCAAAUGCGCUUUUGGCAUAAGUGCUGGAAAGUUCCUGGGAUUCAUGGUCAGCCAAAGAGGGAUAGAGGUUAGCCCGGAUCAAGUUAAGACAGUCAUGGAAACACCACCCCCCAGGAGUAAAAAGGAGUUACAGCGCCUCACAGGCAAGCUCAUCGCACUAGGGCGCUUCAUAGCCCGCUUCAUUGAUGAAUUGCGACCCUUCUUCUUGGCAAUACGAAAAGCCGGUGCGAACGGGUGGACGGACAGCUGCCAGAGCGCUUUCAAAAAAAUCAAACACUACCUCAUGCAACCACUCAUUCUAAACAGCCCCCUCCCUGGAGAAAAAUUGUAUAUGUAUCUGGCUGUAUCAGAAUGGGUCAUUAGCGUUGUUCUAUUCCGCUGCCCCUCACACAAGGAGCAAAAACCUAAUUAUUAUGUUAGCAGAGCGUUGGCUGACGUAGAAACAAGGUACUCAAAGAUCGAGCAAACGGCUUUGGCCCUUCGAAGUGCCGCCCAGAAGCUCCGCCCUUACUUCCAAGCCCACCCGGUGGUCGUGCUCAUCGACCAGCCCCUUCGCAACAUCUUGCACAAGUCGGACCUAAUCGGAAGAAUGCUUCAAUGGGCUAUAGAGUUGAGCGAGUAUGGAAUUGAAUACCAACCAAAAUUGUCCAUGAAAGGGCAAGUAAUGGCUGACUUUGUGCUGGAAUACUCCCAAAGACCUGCUCAACACAAAGAACCACGCGAAGAAGAGUGGUGGACUUUACGGGAUGAUGGAGCCUCUCGAUUAUCAGGAUCGGGAGUAGGGCUCGUGCUGCGAUCCCCAACAGGAGAGCAGUUGGAGGAAGCUAUCCGACUAGGAUUCCUCGCGUCUAACAAUGAAGCAGAAUAUGAGGUCAUCCUAUCCGGAUUAGAUCUCGCCCUGGCCCUGUCCGUCUCCAUGCUCCGAGUCUACAGCGAUUCCCAACUCGUGGUAAGGCACGUCCAUAAGGAAUACGAAGCUAAGGAUGAGCGCAUGGCGCGAUAUCUGACUAAAGUAAGAGACAUCCUACAACGGUUCGCCGAAUGGACCCUCGAAAAAAUUAAACGAAACGAUAAUGAACGUGCCGACGCCCUGGCAGGGAUAGUCGCUUCCCUCCCCAUCAAAGAAGCCAUAUUAUUGCCCAUACACGUGCAAACCAACCCCUUCGUCACGGAAGCAUCCACAUGCAAUACCAUUGAGGUGAGCCAAGCCAACGGCCAAGAGUGGACGGAAGCCAUAAUAAAGUAUCUCCGGACAGGCACUUUGCCCGAAGAGCCCAGGCAGGCACAUAAGACCAGGGUACAAGCCGCCCAUUUUACCCUAAUCGGGGGGCACCUUUACAAACGGUCCUUCACAGGCCCCUAUCUCAGGUGCCUAAACCACUCAGAAGCCCGGUAAGUGUUAGCUGAGUUGCAUGAGGGGGUGUGCAGCAAUCAUUCCGGAGGUCGAUCUCUAGCGCAUCGGGCCCACUCGCAAGGAUAUUAUUGGCCCACGAUGAAGAAAGAUGCGACAGCUCAUGUCAAAAAGUGUGACAAAUGCCAGAGGCAUGCACCCAUACCACAUAUGCCAUCGGAGACAUUAAAACCGAUUUCUAGCCCCUGGCCCUUCGCGCAAUGAGGGAUGGACAUAGUAGGACCCCUACCAACUGCAACUGCCCAGAAGAAAUUCUUGCUCGUCACCACAGAUUAUUUUAGUAAAUGGGUGGAAGCUGAAGCAUACGCUAGCAUCAAAGACAAAGACGUCACCAAGUUCGUAUGGAAAAACAUCAUCUACUGCUUUGGAAUCCCUCAAACCAUUAUAGCUGACAACGGCCCAUAGUUUGAUAGCAUCACUUUCCAGAAUUUCUGUUCGGAACUCAACAUCCGGAAUUUAUACUCCACACCGCGUUAUCCUCAAAGCAAUGGACAAGCAGAGGCCACAAACAAAACCCUAAUAACUUCCUUAAAGAAAAGGCUCGAGCAAGCCAAAGGGAAGUGGGUAGAGGAGCUACCUGACGUCCUAUAGGAAAUACUCCCUUCGCCCUCGCAUAUGGUAUGGAUGCAGUCAUUCCUACAUAAAUAGGGCUACCCACUAUCCGGACUGAGGCAGAACGGCAGGGUGAUGCAAAUGUGGAACUAGGAAGAAAUUUGGACUGGGCGGACGAAGUGAGAAAGAGUGCAUCCAUCCGGAUGGCCGACUAUCAACAAAGGGCAGCCGCUCACUAUAACCGCAAGGCAAGACCCAAGAGCUUCAAAAGUGGAACGCUGGUCCUCAGGAAGGUUUUUGAAAAUACUGCUGAAACGGGAGCAGGAAAAUUCCAAGCCAAUUGGGAAGGCCCCUACAUAGUAUCCAAGACAAGUGAAAGCGGAGCCUAUCAUCUACAGAAGCUAGACGGAACUCCGCUGCUCCGUCCAUGGAAUGUAUCCAAUCUUAAGCAGUAUUAUCAAUGAAAGGAACGGAAGAGAAAGCAAAAGAGACAGAGAAAAUGUAAUGUAUUUGUAAGAUAAGGAACAAAGUGUCUUUAUAAAAAUAGCUGCCCCAUAUGCAGCAAAACAAAGGAAAAAUUAUAAAGUCCGCACAAAAGGAAAUCUCAGCUAGACGGAUCCCCAGGUGCCGCAUCCUCCUCAUCAGAAGGGAAAGAAGGAAUAUCAUGCAUAAUUUCGUGCUUCUUCAUACAACAGCGGUAGCCGAAGAAGUACAUCUCGUCCGCCUGCUGCUAGUAUUCUUCUUCCAUCUCCUUCUUCUGGGCGGCGAACCUAGCCUCCAUCUCCUCCUUUUGAGCCGCCAGACCCGCCCGCAAAUCCUCUAACUCCUUCUUCUGAGCGGCGAGGCUAGCUCGGAGUUCUUCCGUCUCUCUUUUCAACUGGAGGUUCUCCUGCCUAGCUUCACUGACUUGGCUCUCCAAGGCUUCCUUUUCUUUCUCUAGAAUAUCAGCCUCAGCUCGGAUAGCGUCCUUCUCCCCCUCAACCCGGCACAGCUGCUCCGACCCAUCCACCACAGCUUUUCGGCCAGUGGCCAACUCAGCCUCAACCUUCUUCAACUGGGCGCGCAGCUCCUCGACGGCACCCAGAUGCUGGGAGAUAAAGGCACGCAUGGCCUCUGCCACCUUCAGCCGCUUGAAAAGCUGCUCGCGUGUGCGCAUCAUGUGGCGGAUGCUGGUUAUAGCCUGGGCAAAGCGACAACAAAACAACAGACAAUGUUACAAUAGAAAAGUGGUAACUGCUAAGAAACAAGAGAAAAACAGCAAAAAAGUAUUUACCACUUCAGCAGUCUCUAGGAUCGUCCAUUCCUACAGGGGCUGAAUGCAGGACACGGCGGACUUAGAAGUACCAAAAGGGAGUCGUGCCUCUGCGUCUGUGAAGCAUGGCACCCCCUUCAGCAUCUCCAUCAGUUCCUCCCAACUUGGAGAAACUGCUGCAGCAUGACUGCUCUUCUCUUCCGGAGCCUCCUCACCGUUCGACGCGUCCGAAACCCCCUCUGACAUAGAGGUGUCCACCACAACAGGGGAGCGUAGGCCUGAACCGUGGCCGCCGCGCUAGAUCCUACGGCAUCACUUGCACUGGCACCAUCCCCGUAUGAACGGGUCGCAGCUGACGCCGGAACCUUUGGCGUCGGUUCCUCCCCACCCCGAUCCGGGCAAACUUUCUUAGCUGGGGGAGGCCCAAGGUCGAAGGGGACGUGCAACCAUUUGCCAUGUCUGCGCAGAAGCCUCGCCCUAAGGUCACUUGUGCUUCUCAUUUCCUCUGGCUCGUCCAUGACCUGCAAGCCAGCAGACUUCGGUUCAGGCUAGGGAGAGCUAGGCUUCGAGUGGAAGAUUACAAGCUGAAGGGAACUGGAGGUGGCCUCAGGUUCCUCAGCCUCCUCAGACUCCGGGAUAGUGUGGUCCGACCGGUUGGGCCCGAACCUACAAGACGAAGACGAAGCCUCAGGAGUGGGGGUCGCUAUCCGGAGCACCUGCGCAAGUGUCUUCUUCGUCUUCUUCUUCUUCUUUUCCUUUGUGGCCGGGGGACAGGCCGCUGGAGAAGAGUCGCGCCCCUUCUCACCAGGUGCUUUCCUUAAUGUCCCCUCCUGCCUCUUCUCCUCUUGCUGGUCAAGGCGUUCUUGACGCGCCUUUGCGUCAGCCUCGUGAGCCCUCUCGUAAAAAGACAAAUCUUUCAAUACAAAAUGCUUCCCAAGCACUACCCGUUUUGGCAAUCGCCUAAGGAGAAUGUUGGUGACGUACGGUUGAGGCUCCCGGACUACCGCCAACAGGUUCCGGGCAAUGAGCAGCGUCUGAUAAUGCCUCUCAGCUGCAGUGAUCUCGAAUAACUUGUUCAAGCGGUCGAAAGACGCCUUUUCCACCCACUCGACCAGGCGACCCCUCUUGGACGUACCUACGUUGCCCACAACCAAAGACGUUAGCCAUCUGAUAACAUUAAACUAAGAGAACAACAAGUGAACGUCGGACAAACUCCGCAAGCUACCCUACUCGGGAGCGCUAGCGAACGGUUUGGGGAAAACGCUCUCUCCGGAUGCUCCGACAGUCCAGCCCAAACACCCUUGACUAAUACAUGCCCCUUGGCUCCCCCCUUCGUCGAAUCUAGAAGAUGAGUCACCAAUUGGAGGGACGACAUAUAGGCAGCCAGGCUGAAGAGGUCAGUCUUUCCCUUCUUGAUGGAAUAGAUGAAAAGGACCUCCAGCAGCGAAAGGUCCAAGUUAAACAGCAUGCUCAGAAUGCUGCACCCCAUCAGCACCCGGACUAUGUUGGGAUGGAUGUAGGCCGAAGAGAUCUGGAUGAAGUGAAGAAACUCUUUGAACAAGGACGGGAGAGGGAACCGGAGCCCCGCAUUGAAUUGCUCCUUGGAGAAAUAGAUAGCGUUGUCCGCAGAUUUCUCAGUGGAUAUGGCCUCUCCAUCCACAAGCUGAACGGACACGCCAUUCGAAAUGCAGAAGCGUUCACAAAACUACCUCACGUUCAGCUUGUCAACAGGCUUUUCCGCAUAGACCACCCCGAAAGCGUUCUUUCCGCUCUGCCCGACCGCACUUGAUGAAGCUACGUCCUUUUUCGCAGGCAUUUUAAAGCGUGGGGCCGAAACGGAACCUGCAUGGCGGGAUGCCAACAGUAAAAAAAAAAGGACCUGGCCCCACAGCCCUAACAGCAAAAACGCCGAGAAAACCUAAGAUACCCAACAUCCCCAUCCUAACCCUUGGCUCUACCCCAAAGCAAGAUCGGUCACCCACAAAAGGUGCAGGGGGGCAACAGGAACCCUAACGCACCCAAAACAAAACCAAAACCCCCCGAAAAAUCCUUGAACACCAGUACCGACCCCCAGUCACAAGUAGCUUACCCAACAAGCCAGAAACAAUCAAAAACAAACACAAACGGGAAGAAGGCAGAAAUAGAGAACGUACCUAGCGCAAACUGGCAAAACGGAGAUGAAGCCCGCGAUGCAGUCACCCUCACGACACGAAUGUCGCUAGCAGAAGCCCUAGAACUUCACUUACAGGCGAAGAUACGCAGAAAGCCGAAGAGAAAGCACUACCAACAGAAAUGCAGAAGGAAGAAAUGCAGGCGUAGGGGGGCUCGGUCUGCUAUUUAAAGGGAGACAGCCCCUCGGUAUUCCAAACGCCUAGCCGUGCCGUUAUUGAAAAGACAUACCGCCUGGGAAUUCCCAAGGACGGCGGCUCGUCAUAAAUGUCCUUCCUCCUUUUCGCCUCCGCACCGCCACGUGGCCCAAUGAGCGCAAAAAAACAACCUAAGUUUCAAAACCAUCAUUUUUUAACCCGCCCAUUCUGCCCAGGCAAAAUCGACAGGUUAAAAGGGGGGCAUUAUAGGGACCCCCCCCCCCCCCCCCNNNNNNNNNNNNNNNNNNNNNNNNNNNNNNNNNNNNNNNNNNNNNNNNNNNNNNNNNNNNNNNNNNNNNNNNNNNNNNNNNNNNNNNNNNNNNNNNNNNNGGGGCAUUAUAGGGACCCCCCCCCCCCCCCCUCCCCCCUCCCCCCACGAUGACACGCGGCGCGCACAGCCAUCCGAAUCACCUCUAUCGGGGUCCCCCAGGGGAGGGAGGAGCACCCUGCACUCUCAAAUAUCAUACCCGGGCGACGCUCCAUCCUAUCCGGAUCAUUGACUGUAAGGAGAAAGCCUUGCUGAGUCAUCCCAAACAGCCUGUCACAGCCCACGUUUCGCCGCCUACAAAGCGAAAGGACAGGAGGGAUGGCAAGUCACCUCCCAUGAUAUCUAACAGCCGCCUGCAAGGUGAUGAUGACUCUGCCACCACCUUGAAGACAUCAUGACAAGCCAAAAAGUCUUCCCACCAUUAAAAAGGGGAGCAAAGCUUCUGACACUAUAUAAAAGGACCUUCACACAAAGAAGAAGGUAAGGGAGCUACCCCAGAAAAGAGGUCAAGAGCCUGAUCUUUUAAGCCAUGACUAACAAAACCAUCGGAGGAUGUGUUCGGACAUCCUGUCUGGACAUCUUUUUCAGGGUCGAUUGAGCUAGAACUCAUUCUUGGUUGAAAGUGCGCGUCCACUUAGCAGCAGCGUGGAUCCCUGGGACGCGAGGCAUCAAUAGUGUCUUCAAAAUUUUCUUUGAAAAAUGUGAAGAUCCAUCCCUAAAAAGUUGGAAAUAGGAAAUAAUCAAGCUGACAAAAACAAAAGUGAUUAACACAAGAAAAGCAUAAAAAUUUCCUUUACGGCAACCAAUUCCAAAAUAGCAGCAAUUACCAUUGCCAAUGUAUCAACGAGAAAUGCGCGCUUUCCACGAGCAUUUCCGAGCUGAGAAAUCUGUCUGCAAGCAAAUGGAUGAACAACUGACCCAUUCCAUUCAAACAAUGCCCCCAAUCUGAUAAAAGAAAACGCUCUCCUCGAUCCAAACAUUAAGAAUUCUCAAGAACAAAACUAGUAGAGGAAUAAGCAAAUUGCGGUGAAAUUCUUUAUCUGAACCGCGGAUGUGAGAGAAAAGAGAGAAACCGCCAAAACCUGGAGGAAGGGGGUGGUUGAAAUUGAAAGCCUAUGACGAAUCUUUCUACCAUUUUUAUAAGAAGGCUUCCUUGAAAGCUUUGCAAACUUCCUCUUUUCACCUCCCGCGGAAAGUGUUCGUUCAAAGGCCCGAUGGGUGGGGAUUACUUGUAAUAUAAUUAGAAAAUUACAUAAAAGUUGAAAAUAAGCCAAAAAAUAAAUGUUUUUUUUGUUAUUUAUUUAUUAUGAAAUUUUAUGCCAUUAAAUUAUUAAUUUUAGUAGGGUAAUAAUUCCUUGUAGAAUUAUAAAUAUUAAGUAUUCAAGAAGUUCUUGAAUAUUAAAUAACUUUUAACUUUAAGGGCAUACUACCCUUUUGUUAUAUCUUAUCAUCUAUGUUGGUAAUAAAUAUAUUGUAUUUUUUAAAAUUCAAGGAAAAAUAUGAAAAUAAAAGGAAUUAAAAAGUGAAAGAAAUGGAAAAUAAAUUUAAAGUGAAGAUAUUAUCCUUUAUAUGUGAUAUGUUGAUGAUAAUAUGUUGUAUAUAUUUUUUAUCUUAUAUUUGAUUAUUGAAAAAAUAAAAUAAAAAUGAAAAAUACAUUUAAAGUUAAUAAAUUAUUUAUAUAUAUAUAUAUUUAAAUUUAAUAUUUUAUGGUACACUAAAUAUAAAAAAAAAUUAAUAUAUUUUUCUUUAAUAUUUUUUGUUAACUAAAUGUAACGUAAUAAAAACUCAUGGUAUACCAAACUAUUGAAGCGCAUGGUUAAAUUUAAAGUUAUAAAGAGAGUUUUUAAGAUGAGUAAUCAGGAAAAAGAAAGCCUAUUAAUAUUUUUUUUAGGCAGGAAGAUAGAUAAGAAUUACUACAAUCUCAAUCUGGCAUGUAAUCCACUGAGGAGGGGGGCAGUGGAAAAUACAUUUGCUCUCUCAAAUCAAACUGCAUUACUUACUUAAACAAUGAAAAUAAAAUUUAUUGAUAAAUAAAACCAUUGUAUAACCAUGUACUGAACCAGGGUAUAGUAAAACAAUUCCCCUCCCCUUCCCUUGCACAACAACAAAAGGAUUACUACAUCUUUAUGAUAAAGAGGAAGGGGGAGUUUUGAAAGAAGAUUUCCAAAUUGAUUAGCAACAAUAAAUAUAGCAUAGUGCCACUUCUGCAGCUUGGAUUCCUCUUCUAACAUACAUCCUAACCCAAACUCUCUCCAAUCUUACUUUGGUCUUCUUCGGUAAGGGUAUAGAAUGUCAUCCAGACUCUCUUUUAGAUAAUUUCCCACCUUAUUCACAUUCCUGGCAACACCUGAUGCCACCAGACUUGCAUUCCUUACAAACCUGCAUUGUUAUUCACAAGCAUUAGAUUUCGGGUUUUCUGAGAAUAAAUUGGAAGACACUGUAUGUAUUUGAGAUGAAUUAUUGGCUUGCCUGUUCAAGUACUCAUUCCCUGUGGAAUGUGGCGGUUUAUAGGGGCGAGGUUGAGGAAAAGCAUGGCUGUCUAUAACAUAAGAAUAAACAGAAGGCAGAAGGUCAAAAAACUUGAACAAUAACAUUAUUUAAAACAUUGAAACCUCAAGAGGAAAUAGAACCAUUAUUCAAUAAGAAGGUUUAUCAAGGUUGAAAGUUGGGAGGUGAUGUUUCAGUAAAACCUUGAAAAGAAAUGGAUGAUAUGAGCAAAUGAGCAGUAAAGAAUGUGACUCCUUGUUAACUAUAGAAUCAUAAACAUUCCUCAUAUCAUGUCCUCAAAUUUAGCAACCAUUUAGAAGCUACAUGGAAAAUGAAAACAACCUUAGCACUUGUUUAAUUCUUUGUAAUUAUGAGUUUAACAAUUAGUGCUACAAACCCACUUUACAAGAAGAAAUUUAUUGAUGCUAGAAUGGAUCUCAUUUCCUAUAAUUUUUUUUUUUCAAAUAGAUACAACAAUACAUAAUUUUUGUCUCCUUUUCCUGAAGGAAAAAAAAAACAAGGAAUAAAAUGUUAGAAAUCCAAAAGGGAACUCCCAACACUUCUGUGGAUUUGAAAGAUGUUAAACAAAUUUGAAGCAUAAUAUGUUAUUCAAAGUAGAGAGUUCCAUUUUCAACAAUUUGAGUGACAAUCAAUGGUUAUUGCCAUUUAUUUCUUUUCGUGUUGGUGCAUUUUUGUGUGUAAAAAAAUAAAAAAAUAAAAAUCAAACUAUAACAUAGAACAUGACCAAUGAAAAAGAGAACAAAAAGUAAAUUGCUUUUAAUACCUUCUCUUCUCUGAGCAGGAGCAGGAACAUGGUUAGCGGACCCAUGGUGAGCAGGAACAUGAUUAGCAGACCCAUGGUGUGCAGGAGAAGUUCUCUUGUCCAACAAAACCUACAAGAAGCAAAGCAAGAUAAAUUAUAACUUGACAAAAAGGAGAUAACACAUGUAAGCAAGAGCCUGAUUAUUAGAAAAUUGAAUUCCAAAUCAAUCAAAAUCUAUUUAAAUACAAUCCAGAUAAAAAGUAAGGAACUUGAAUAUAAUGUAAACCAAACCGGACACAAAGCUAGAUGGUUGGAUUAUGAAUUUACACCACUCACUUAUUUGUACAAAAAAGAACAAAGAAAGAAAUUCAAGGAUUUCAUUAAAAAAUCUAGGCAAAAGAACAUACAUGACUGAGCUUCUGUAAAUUUCCAUGAAAUUUAAUGCCACUUCACAGUAAUCAAGAUUCAAUUUGCAUUCCAUCUUUCAAACCUUGUACACUUGCAUUAAGCUUUUAGUUGUGCAUUUCCAAAACAUAAUCAUGCUUCAAUACGACAAUAAAAUUUAAGCCAAAGGUAAAUCCUAGUUUGCAUAACUUCUCUCCUCAUCCUAGUUUGCAUAAGGAAAUUUAGAAGUUUGAGUUAAAAACACUCACACACAAACACUUACGACCUAUUUAAUAACGUUUUUUAAAACAGUUCUCAAAAAAUAGUUUAUGAGAGCAGUUUUUUAAAACAAUCUCAAUUAUCUCUAAGAAUAAAGAUCUAUUUAAAAAAUCAUAUAUAUAAAACACAAUUUUCUUGGCUUCCUCUCCAUGAAACAAUGUACACUUAUGCACAAUGCAAAAGUUCCCACAGUAUUCUCCAUUUUUUUUUUUGAAUUGGCAAUGAUACAAUUUUAUAAACAAGCGCCAUAGAAACAGCCCAUCAAGGAACAAAGGAUGUAUACCACAAGAGCCAAAGAAACAAUAAAAAAAUGGAGCUAAGGAACAACCAAAAUGAGAGUACAAAAAACAACUUUAUCCCAUAAUGAGACCCCAACCAAUCAACAAAAUCAAUUAAAUGUACAACUUUACUCAUAAAAAAAGAUUACUAAGAAAUAGGCUCUUCAAAACACAAAUAGGUCAUUCCUUAUCCUCAAAUGACCUUCGAUUUUUCUCUUUCCAUAUUGUCUAAAAGAUGCAUAAAGGAACAACUCUCCAAGCCCUUUUACACCUUUUUUCUGAUGAAUGAUCCACGUCACCCUAGCAGAGCCUCUCUCAUUGUCACCAACAACACCCAAGGAACACCAAACAAAGAGAAGAACAACCGACAAAUAACCCUUGCCUUGGAAGGGUGAAGAAAAAUGUAAUGGAUUGACUCUUCAACUUUACAUAGGAAGCAUCCAUUAACCAAUGUCCACCCUCUUCUUUGAAACGAAUCAAAAGUCAAAAUCUUUCCCAACAAGCUUUCCACGAAAAUAAAUUUGUUUUAGAUGGAAUCUGUGAAUUCCAAAUGACCCCCAUUGGAGAAGGAGUUAAACUUCCCAAUCCCAAGGCAACAUAAUGAGACUUUACUGAGAAGGUAUCAUUCCUCAAUCCACACUACCCUAUACUACUCUUUUUUUUUUCUUUUUUUUUUUGUAGGUAAAUUAUUGUCCCCAUUGGUACUUGAACCCGAAACCUCCCACAAACCCUCCCCAUACCCUAUCCUACUCUCUAUUCACUACCUUACCUUGCAAUCUAGAGAAAAAUUGUUCUACAUUUUCCAAUUCUCAAUCAUUAAGCUGUCUAGAAAAGUAAGGGUUCCAAUGGCCCUUUUCCUUGUUUGAUCUCUUAAAUCAGUCACCCAAGCCUUUUUUCAUAAGGCUAAAGCAUACAAAGAUGAAAAAGAAACACACAAUGACUCAUCCAAAACUUCACCCUCCUCCCAUUACCCACAAAAAAGGAAAUUCCACUAUUAAAGAUAGCUCAAUCCUUCCUAAUAGCUUUUCGUAACUCAACACCAUACUCAUCUCUCACAUCACAACACGACCACCUCCCUUUUUCCUCUCCAUAUUUUCCACAUAUAACCUGUCUCUAGAGAGCUCCCCUUUUCAUCACCAACUUCACUUGCACAAAAAUGCUUUAUUCAAAGAAAGACUUCCAACACCCAAACACGCCCACACACCACUUUCCUUUCUCCGUGCAUACAGUUGACCACUUCACUAGAUGAAAUUUAUUGUCCAAAGUCUCUUUGAAUCCUCUCUAGUAUCAUUCCAACUUUUCUCAAAAUGGACAACAAUGACAUAAAAUAGAUGGGGAAGCUAGAUAAUGUGCUCCGGAUCAAAACAAAUCUUCCCCCUUUUUCUGAAAUAUAUUGUCUUUUUCCACAUAGACAACCUCUUGCACAAUUUCUCUUCCACUUCAUCCCAAGCAGCCACUAAUUUAAAAGAAAUGCUCAAAGGAAGCCUCAUAUACACCCCAAUUCAUAGGCCAAUUCCCCGACAUUGUCCACCCUCCCAACUCUAAUUAACUCACUCUUUUCCAAAUUAAUUUUCAAACCAGAGAUGAUUUCAAACCACAUGAGCAAUCAGCUUAAAUGAACCAUUUGGUCUUGAGAAACCUUACAAAAACAAGGGUAUCACUUGCAAACAAUAAAUGAGACACCUCCCCUUCACCCUAAAACCUGACAGAUGGCCUCCAUCCUUAACCAUCUAUAGAAGGCAACUAAGGGCCUCCAUUGCUAUAGCAAAUAUGUAGGGACAAAGAGGAUCCCCUGCCUCAAUCUGCUUAAACUUUGAAAAAAGGCAAAAGGGAUGUCAUUAACAAGUACCGAACACUUUGCAGAAGAACUAUACCACACAAAAAACAAUCGAAAACACCACAAAUUUGUUUUCAAAAAGCAACCUAUUUUAAAACAAGUUCUCAAAAAAACUGUUUUCUGUCAAAAUUUCACCAAAUGUACUUUCUAAGUAAGAGAAAUGUUGUCAACACCAGUUUCCAAAUAGACCCUUAUAUUUUGGCAUGCAUCACUAAAAAUAUAAUCCAACAAGGUAUAUCUCAACAAAUUUUUUGAGUUAAAAAUAAUCUGUUUACCACAUUUCUUGUAUGAGGAAAGAUAGAAAAAAUACAUCUGAAUGUAAUACCUCAAGACCAACACAGAAUGGCAAUUCUGCUUGUUUCUCUUCCUGAUCAGCAGAUGGAUUUUUGUUGUCCAAAUACACUGAGUAACCAGCGCAAGCAUACCUGAAGUCUGUAAGACUUCGACCCUCUUUAGAAGCUUCCAACUCAGAUUCUCCCACAAUAUAGCUUGGUACUGUUCAUAAACUUUAAAAUUAAUACAAAUAUAACAUAUUUAACGAAUAUAACUCUUAAUUAGGCACGAAACGAAUGAUCAAUGCAUUAAAAAAAACACCAAAAAAAAAACUAGCUACUAAGAUUAGAAAUUAGUGAAAUCUCUUAACAUGGUUUCUUCUAUACAUACAUAUUCAGUAAGAUAUGAAGCUCUCCAUGGGUCAAAACAUUAACAAGCACUUCAGUAUGAGAAUGAAAGGCAACAAAUAUCUAGAAGCACCAGGCACAUCAAAGCGACUUAUCUCAAGUAAGGAUUAAGGCCUAGACUCCACAGCUUAGCACAGAAAAAGCGCAUCUAUCUAUUCACAAUGCGGACCUAUUUGCGAUUUAAAAAGAGUCUAAAAUUUGGUUCUCUGGAUGGAUAUCAAGCUAUGACAUUGGAUCUAUCCAAAGAGUAAAACAGGAGAUUUGAUUCAUGAUUCAACAUUAUUGCUUCGCAAAUAUUGUUUUAGAGACUUGACUAAAACCCUAGAACAUAAAAAAAUCAAAGAAAAACCAACACAGAAGUGAACCCCUCCAAUGUACCAACAGUGAUUUCAAGAUUAGUGACCUGAAGCUUUAUUUGCAUCGCCUUUCAAAUUCUAUAUUGAUACCACACACUUGAAGCCACUCCAUGAGUAUGACAUACAUGCUAUAGAAAAAAGCAUCAAUUCCUACUUUAAUUAAAUCAAUAGCAUCACAGAUCAUGCCCUAGAAAAAGAGGUAAAUUUACAUUACACAAAUGGACCUGACGUUUCAAUCUAAUCCCAUAUUGAAGAUCCUAAUCAACCAUAAUGCCAGUUAGCACUUAGCACCACACAGUGCCGCGUCAGAUUAAAUUUCUGAUUUUUCUUCGAUCUUCCUCCAGUUUCCUCAGGAGUCAAACAGAGAGAGAAAUAAAUACAACUAGAAAAAUAUGCAUAUAUAGGGAGAGAGGCACCUUGAUGAAGGGUUCUACUGAUGCCGAUGCACCUAGGGUUUUGAGACUUGGAUUUGAGAAUAGACGAGUAGUAUAGACAUCCCUUGCAUGACUUGCCCUUUGAUCCUCUAACAGGGUUAGGGUUAGGGUUAGGGCUAGGGCUAGGGCUAGGGUUAGGGAUUCCGUCGUCUUCUUUAUCCAUCUCCAUCUUUCGGGUUUCACUUGCAGUUGCAGAUGUGUUUCUCUCUCCCUAUGAAGCCACGCAUAAGUUCUUUAUAGGCAUCAUAAGAUCAUAAUACGAUACUGACUCUCAGUUCUAGUGCAAUUCCAAUAGGGCCAUUCAAGAUUCCAAUUUAAAAAAUAAAUAAAUUAUAUAUAUAUAUAUAUAUAUAUAUAUAUAUAUGAAAAAUAAAUAAAUUAUUAAGAGCUCGUUUUGGAUGUAUUUUCUAUUUUUUUAUUUUUAGAAAUAGAAAUUAAUAAAAUAAAAGGUCUAAAAUCUUAUUAAAAGGUUAUAGAUUUAUGUCCUAAAAAUUAUUUUUAAAAUUCUUUUAUAUUUGAGAUAGAGAAAAUUUUUAAUAAUUUGAUUUUUUUUAAUGAUUUUUUAAAAGUAAUUAAUAUAUAUUUUAUAUAAAAAUUAUUAUUAAAAACAGAAAAUACUAAAUAUACAUUAAGAAAUAUAUUUUCUUUAUACUUUUAUAAAAAAAUUAAUAUUUUUCCAUUUUUAAUGUAGUAUUUUUUUAUCAUAUAGUGAAAGAUAAUUUUCUUAAGUUUUAUGACUAAUUUGAAAUAAUCAAUAUAUUGUUAAUAUUUAUUUUCUCCUAAAUUGAUUAAUUUAUGAGUGAGUUUGAAUGUAUGAUUAUUUUGUUCUAACGAAAUAAUAUUAUUAUUUUAAAAGACUUAAUAAUUUAAUUUAUAUCAAUCUUAAAUCUUUUUUUAUAAAAAUAAUUUUUGAUUUAAGUAAAAAUAAACUAUCUAUUUUAACUUAAUACUUAAAAUCAUUUUUAAUUUUAAGUUAUGAUAUUAAAUUAUUUUAAUUAAAAAAAUAAAAUUAAUAUAAAUUAAAUCAUUAAAUCGAUUUACCAAAAACCUUCAAAAUCAAGAAAAUUGUUUCAGAUAUUUGAAUUUUUGAACAAAAUCCCAAUCUAGAAAAUAAUUAAACGAUAUUCCAAAAAACUAAGAACUCUUUCAAAAUUAGUUUUCCAAACUCAAAAACAAUUUUUGAUAAAUAAAAAAAAAAAGUUUUGAAAACAGGCUUAUAUUCUAAAAACAAAUAUUAAUUAUUUUUACUUGCUUUCUGAAAAUUAUUUUAAAAAAUAGUUAUAUAAAUACAAAGGAUGGUUAAAAAGAAAAUACUAUAAAUAAAAAAUAAAUUUAAAACAUUUCAAAUUCCCAGAGAAAGACUUGUAUUUUAAAAAGCAGCAGAGAACCAUCCUUUGGCACCUGUAUUCAAAAACUGUUUUUGACAAUUGUGUUCUAAGGCGAUAGGAAGCAGGUCCUUAUUUUCUAAGAAUUAUUUUCCCAGAUUAUCGUCUGCCUCCAUAUACUGCCUCAAAUUAUAAGAUUAAAAAAUGAAGGACCUGCUUAGAAGUUGGAACCAAACACACUUGGACUGCUAUGGGCUAUGGAAUCGUCUUCCUUGAUAAGCAUUCAACAGUCAACAUUGCUAUUGAACCAGCAAAAGAGAAGUUUUCCUUUCCAAGCAAGCAUUAUAUUUCUGUAGGUACUCUCUCUAGUUUGAAGCACACAACAAACUCAGCCAUGCAAAUACUACCAAUAACUGGGGAGUGUGGGUUGGUUACUCUCCUAUCCUCAAAGCUGGAAUUUUUGCUUCUUCACAACAUCAGGCUAUUAGGAAUUAUAAACAUAUAUAAAAUAAACACCACAAAGGAAUUAUGAACUUUCUUGUCAACUCUCAGAUAACUUUUUCUCAUGAGUAAAAACUUCUCUACACAGUGUUUAUCCAAAUCUAAUUGAACAUCCUAAGGCUUCCUGUUGUGUCAUUUCCCACUGUACAUCCCGCCAACUGCUUCAGUCGUCCCUGGAAUUACAAACACCUACAAGUCUACACAGAUGGAUACCAUCCAAUCCCAUUGGGGCAUUGAGAUCACAGAGCAGGUUGAAUGAUUUCAACCUUCCACCUCACAGGAAUAAGUUUAACAACUAUUCUUCACCACAUUGAACUACUACUCCGAUGUCAGACAUAAGACCAUUCAAAAACUGUUAUCGAACUAAAUGGGAAAACAUCAGCUAUAAAGACAAAACAGGUGUCCAGCUAAACUGAAUUGUGUUUCACAAAUAUAAAAACGCAUCAAAGCUUAUAGAAAGUUGGUACCUCCUAAGAUGAAAAUUCUGUACACUACCACAAGUCACUGCUACUGCUACUGACUGAUAAUGGCAUGAUGCUCCUCUCAUGACACCACCAGUCUCUGCAGCUGUGGACAUCCUACAUUCAACUGUGCCGAUAAUCACAUGAUGCUCCCUUCUUGCAAUGCCCAUUCUCAUGAUACACACACAAUCUCUGCCCUUUAGGGGUUGAUCUACCAGAACCUCCUCCCCCUCCAUUGCCAAAUGAUGAUUGGCGAUUCCAAGGUCUGCCCCCGCCAUAACCAGGAUCUCCACCCUGGGAACCCCUGUCCCUUUGACCUGAGAAUCUAUCACCAUUAUGAUUUUGGUCACUUCCCCACAUGCCUUGGUUCCCUGUUGGUGCAACCCAACUUGGAAUUGCAUUUCCAGGUGCUGACGCUUGACCAGAAGCUCCCCAGUUCAUGUUUGUGUUUCCUGGUACUGGUCCCCAGCUCAUAUUUGGAUUUCCAGGCAUUGGACCCCAGCCAGCAUUUGGAUUCUGUGGCCCUGGCCUUGGGGCAGCACUUGGAUUUUCUGCAACACCCAUACCCCAAGGUAGGUUGGGUGGGGCAGCUGGAGCCAGGUUGGGUGGGGCCGGUGGGAUCAUAGCGGGUGGAGCAGGGGAGAUCAUGUUGGGUGGACCCGGAGGGAUAAUGUUUGGUGGACCAAGAGGGACUAGGUUGGGUGGGGCUGCAGAGAUCAUAUUGGGUGGCACUGAAGGAGUCAGGAUUGGAGGUGGAGGCAGAGGGUUCAGGUUAGGUGGAGCUGGGGGGCCCAGAUUGGGUGGGGUUGGAUGGCCUAGAUUGGUUGGAGCUGGAGGGCCAAAGCUGGGUGGAGCUCGAGGGCCCAUGUUAGGUGGAACAGAAGGAGCUAGGUUGGGCAGAGCCGGAGGACCAAGGUUGCCAGGAGGUGGAGGCUGGAAGUUUGGUGGAUUACUUGGAACUUGAGGUCUCCAAGAAUCAGAUAGAGGCAAACCUAGGCCUGGACUAGGGAAAUACCCAGCUAGAUUUCCUGUGCCAAGAGAUGAAGCAGAAUUAUGGAUAGAAGAAGCAUCAACCCAGUGACCAUAUGGUGGCUGUUGUGAAUGCAUAGGAAUAGAAUUAUUUCGUUCUAGCUUCUGAGGUGGACCAUAUCCCCAGGUUUGAGAUUCACCCCCAGAUACUGGGCAGGAAGAUACUAUUUCUGGCUUUGAAAUUGAACCAGACCCCCAUCCAUGAGUUUCAACAGGAUGGCUAAGACCCGCAACAGAAUGAACCAGGUUUGGGAGACUUGCACCUGCAACUUUAGAAUCAGUAGCACCUGGGUUCAUUGAGCCAGCAGCAAAAUCAGGUGCAGCAAGUGGAUAUGCAUCUGCCUGAACACUCUGUGAUUCACCUGACACAGACGAUUGAGGAUGAACCUCUGGAGCAUUUGCAGAGGAAUUUGAGACUGAACUAGGCACCAAUGCUCCUAAAAGCUCAAUCACAUUAUGUUCUUUCCUACCAGGAACACUUGUUUGUUGGCUGAAUGAUGCAAAAGAUAGAUCUGAACUAUCAACACCUGCACUCUGCUUGACUGAAGAUGGUGAAGUAGAAGAAUGUAUCAACUGGCCAUUCUCUGAGGUCACUGCAGUAGGAGAUAAUAGCGUUCCAGAGGAACCUAAAAAUGGAUCCACUGCUGGUUGAACAGGAAACUCAGUGGCUGUGCCUUUUUUAUCAGGAGCUUGCCCAGCAACCCAACCAGUGGUGCUUUGGGCAGGAGUGGGAGAAGGGAGGUUUGCCAAAUCAUUCCUGCCAUCAUAGUCAGAAACUGAACCAUCUGUGGAAAGUUUAGGAGCCUCAACCAUAGAUGAAGCAGCCCAGCCCUUGGACAAACUAACCUCUUGUUGAGAUCUCCAAUUUUCUCCUCUAUGAUCAAGAUUUGGCUUCUCCCCACCUUGAUUUUCACCUACUUGCUGCAAGGAUGAUUCAUAUGGCUUUCCAGAAUCUGUGGAUGGGUGAGGCAGAGUAUGCACAUUUUGGGACUUUCCAAUGCUGUUGUCAACUGGUGAUGAAUCUUUUGGGAAUGCUGCGAACAAUACGUCAGUCAAAAGUGCAGAGUCAUCCUGCUUUUCAGUAGUUCUCCAAAUUCUGAGAUCCUUGGGGAAGAACCCACUAUUACUCCAUUUCCGCAGCUGCACCAGAGAAAAUGGUCCUUGGACUCUUCCAGAAGGAUCUUGGUAAUGCCACAUUUUGUCCGUUUCACUGAGUUUGGCAGCAGUUGGUUCUACCCCUGUCAAGGGAGGUCCGGAGGAACUUUCUAAUGCAACUCCAGAAAAUGAUUCAGACCUUCCCACUGAAUGGGCUGCCACAGAACUGUCUAAUGCAAUUCCAGAAAAUGAUUCUGAUCUUACUCCUGAAUGGGAUGCCAUGGGACUUUCUAAUGGCACGGUUGAAAAUGAUUCAGAUCUUACCACUGAAUGGCUAUUCCAGCCACCAACUUCAGAAUUAGAACCACUUAUCUUCUCCCACCUGCUCAGUUUCUGUGUGUCUCUUCUAUUCCAUGAAUCCUCAUUCAUGAUCUCAUCAGGGCUAGCAACAUCUUCACUUUUGCUUGAAAAAACUUUAUUUGACAUACUUCUGCUGAAUUCCCAGUUUCUACUAGAAUUUUUUGUUGGUGUACUCCAGGAAUAAUUUGAACCAGAAUCUCCUUUCCUUGAAGAGCUAGGUUCCAUCCUCUUCCUGCUAAAGCCUGUAUCUCUUGGUCUCAAAUGAUUUUCUGUGUCCACCAGUACUAAGUAAUCAAUAACAAAGCAAUACAAUUGAAAUUAUUAAAUUCUGAAAUUCACAAGUAGAAAAGCAAGUAUAAGGGACCUUGUCUCUUGUCAUCUGUCUCACUUUCAUCUUCCUCAGACUCGUAACUUGGAUCCAUAUUUGGGUCUGCAUGGACUUCUGGAAUUUCCUCAAGCCUGCGCUGGCGCUCCUCAGCUGUCUUCAAACGCUGCAAUUUCUCGACACAUUCCCUAAGCGUGAGAGGAAGUCAAGGAUAACUUUACAAUUGCCUGUAGAGCUUUCGGCAUCUCCAUCACAACACCACAAAUUAGGUUCCAUUUGGGCUAGUUUUUGUGUUUGUCUUUAACUAAAAGCUAAAGCUGAAUCCACAUCAUGAUUUCCAUGGGGAAACAUUGGUAUCAUGAAAGUUUUAUUAAACAUGAAACAAUUUCCAAUAUAGGUCAAGGAAGAGCUCCUAUGAGAAGUAGCAUUGUUAUUGCUUCAAUAUUAAGCUAUUUUCCAAUACCUAUCAAAAAAAAAAUUAAGCUAUUUUUCAAACUAAAAGCUCUUUUAAUAUAGAUUCAAUAACUAAGUUAUUAAAAAAUACUUUUGCCUUCUUGGAAAGCCCAUCCAAGUAAGUCUUUACAUAUAUAAAUAAUGGGAGCAAACUAAACAAUAUACAAUUUUAUGGUAGACACAAUUUGGCAGCAAAGUGUAAGGACCUUUACUGUAGAUAAAUAACAGGUCAAACUGCAUGAUAGAAAUCCAGCUCAACCUUGCAUAAUCUUUAUUGCCUGAGGAUGAACAUAGGUAUAUAGGUAUAUAUAUAUCCACGACACAGUUAAUGUGCCUGGGCCCUUGACUACAAAAGAUGAACUCUGGAAGAGUCCAUUUUGGGGAAGUAUCACCAGACCCAUCUCAGUAAUCGCCUAAGUUUCCAAAGGUGACCUAUCUUACUGCAGGAGAUCGUAUUUAGAAUAGGGCUCCCAAAAAUUUUCAGACUCACUUCUGUAAUGGAGUUAAGGCUUCCAGCUAAGCACCACCAAAUUCCCAAAACUAACUCACAACAUGUUCCAUCUAGCCAGCCUCCCAACACCCACCACCACCAACAUACCCUACUGAAUAUCAUUUCCUUUCAGCUCCUUUAAGAAAAUAAAUAAGUCCCCCCUAAGCUCAAGCUCUGAUCUAGCACCUUGCCUUCUGAAUGCUCCAAAGAGCACCCAAAGUUCCCUAAGAAUGCUGUUAUUCCCCUAAAGAAACCUAAAAUUAGUUUGCACUAACAUUUUAUUCCAAAACAAAUACAUAAACAGUCAUACAUCAGCCAAGAGUUCCCCCUCAAACAAAGAUAUUCAGAACACAGAACAAAUACAUAGCAAAUUUACAUAAAUCAUCAGUCAAGAAACAACAAAAACUCACCAAUUAAAAGACCAAUAUCCUAAAGAACUUUUCUGAGAGAGUACUACAGGAUCUCAAUUGUAAUCGGCCAAUAAAUAGCCUGAUUUAGGUUAGUUCAAAGUAAAAUUGUUAAUAACACUGAAUAUGGCAUAAUAGGUGAUUCAAUUUAGAAACCAACUUUUGACGUUUAAGGGAUAACGCGUUCAGGUCACCAAUCCUCAUAGCACUUAUUUGAUUGAGUGUCCUCUGGAUUAACCAGAAAGGCAAUGUCUUAAGAAAAUAGGACAUAUGAUAACAAGAAGCCACUUGCAUAUUCAAGAUGAUAAUAGAACUAUGCAUAAGCUGAACAAAAAAAGGAUAUUCCUUUCUGCGCCCCUUUUCACUAGCUCGAUCGCGAAGAUGACUAAGCCGCACAAUCUCUGUUUCCAGCCACUACAUCAACACAAGAAGCAUCAUGCAUAGUAGACAGCAAAAAUAUGACGAAAAAAAAGAAGAAGAACAAAGCAGGAGAGGAAAAUAUCCCAGAUCUUCUGAUGAUAUAACAAUAUAAAAAAUGAAUAAAAAAUAUUUUUUGAACAAAAUUAGCAGAUACUAACAUGCAACAGUUAGGAUUUUUGGAUAAACAGGUACUUAUUUAAGUCCAGAAUAAGAAAAUAAUUCAAGUGCACCAACAAUGUAAUGAAUUAAUUUUAACAUUAUUGAUCAACCAGUGAUAGGAUAACAGACCCACACUUCAUAGAGAUAUUUUUCCUUGAUUGUUAUAGCAUUUUAAAAUAGGCAUUAGGGGGAUCAUGCGGAUUAUGAAAUGCCAUUCUCAUUUGGGGUUUGAGUAAUGUGCUCACACUACCUUCAUUACUCCUAUAUAAGCUGCCUAUAUGAAGGCAGGGAUAAGACAUUAAAUAAUUUUAAGCACAUUAAUUGAGUGCAAUUAUAAAUGAUUUCAAAUAAUUUUUAUCAAAGAGCAAGGUAGUGACCAAGAUUAACUCCCCCAACCAUUUCAGACAAGGCAAGCAGAUUCUUGCCAGUUUCCAAGUACAACUGAGUAUAUUAGUUUAGUACAAGUGCAAAUAGUGCUUCUUAGCAUUUAUCUAUACAGAAUUCAUUGGUAUCUUUUAUGUCCAUUUUUAAACUGCUGACAGCGCUUUCACAACAUAAAUGAUUUGGGAACUUUUUCUUCUUUUUUCAAUUACUAUUAUGCAGAAAUAAGAAUUUAUUUGAUAGCUAUCCAAAGUUGCCCUUAACAAAGCUUUGCUUGGGAAGUGGAGUUGGAGAUUUGCAAAAGAAAGGGAGUCCCUUUGGAAACUUGUAAUCAUCAACAAGUUUGGCUUCGAGGAAAGGGGGUGGUGUUCGAGAGUAGGGAGAGGAGGCUAUGGUGUGGGGGUGUGGAAAGCCAUUAGAAGGGAAUGGGAGGGCAUUCAAGGUAGAUCCUGUUCAUUUUUGGGAAUGGGAGGGCAUUCAAGGUAGAUCCGGUUUCAUUAUUGGGAAUGGGAGAAGGGUUAAGCUUUGGAAGGAUUUGUAGUGUGAGGAUUAGACAUUGAAAGAAGCUUUCCCUAACUUAUUCCUUUUGGUAGUUGAUAAAGAUGGUGGGUGUCAAACGCUUGGGAGGAGGGUGGGGAGAUGGGUUGUUGGAGUCCUCGCUUUUCAAGGCAUCUUCAUGAUUGGGGGAUGGGAGAAGUGGAGUCUUUGCUUUGGAAGCUUCAACCUUUGGCUGUAAGAAGAGAUGCAGAGGACAUUUUGAGCUGGCAAGAAAGUAGGAAUGGCUUUUUUUUUGUUCAUUCCCUUUAUUGUUCCUACACAAGGGCUCCUAGUGAUCCUUUCCCAUGGAGCUUUAUUUGGAGGUCUUGGACUCCAAUGAGAGUGAGCCUUUUUGCUUGGGAAGCAUCUUGGAACAGAAUUUUGACUUGUGACCAGCUGAAAAGGAGGGGAUGGAAUUUACCGAAUAGAUGCUACUUGUGUAAACAGGAAGAGGAAACCAAUGACCAUCUAUUUCUGGUUUGUAUUAAGGUUAGAAUGUUGUGGAAUGUGAUCUUCGCCCUUUUCGGUGUGCAUUGGGUUUGCAUUCCUCCAUGAAGGGAAACUUGCUUGGGUGGCAUGGAAGCUUUGUGGGUAAAAGAAGGGAGAAGGCAUGGAAGGCUGCACAUUUAUGUUUGAUGUGGACUUUAUGGAAGGAAAGGAAUGGGAGAGCAUUCAAUGAUGUUGAACGGUCCGACCAAGCUAUCAAAUAUUCUUUUUUGUAUAAUUUGUGAAUUCGGCUAGGGUAUAUAUAGAAUAUCACAUUUUGUCUAUGAUUGACUUUAUAGAUUGGCUGUUUAUUAAGGGGAUGGCUAUCUUCUCACUUUGCUGCCUAGUUUUUUAGGCAUUUAUUUGUAUACUUCAUGUGUACUGUUUUCUUUGUUUCUAGGCGUUUCUAAUGCAAGCUCAUAUUUACCUAUAAAAAAAAAAAUUUUAAAAAAAACACUAUCCAGAAUAGUAGUUGAAUACAUGCACCAAGCACAAAGUAAAUAAUGAAUGAACAAGUUGUACGCAAUUGACAUACAUCCUUGACUCUGACUGCUUGAAGUGCUAACGCUUUUUCCAGAAUGCCACCCUACAAGCAAUCACCAUGCUUAUUAGGAUUAAUGAGAAAGUCCGAAUAUGGAAAACAGAAAUGAAACUAAAAUAUAGAAUUACCACUGUCAAUGGGGUGAUUAAUCCACAUUUUAUACUCUGACGUAGACGCAUACAUUCGUCCUGAAAAGCAAAAUAACAUAUAAGGCCACACUCUAUAACAAUUUGAUCUCUAAUAAGCUGCUGAUUUGGAAACCCCUUUUUCGAUAAAUAGGAUGCUUCUUAUUAAUAAGCCAUUGAAUUUCACAUGUAUCCAUUAUUUCCCUACAAAGAGAAAUGUUUUUCCACCAUCCCCAUAAAGGGUAUUUAGGACUAACCAAGGCCUCAUUCAAGCAGGGAUCCUAUUCAUCAAAACCAAGGGGCAUCCAAAUGAGAAGCCUCUUCACCUCCAUCUUAUUCUACUAGAGUAAAGUUUGUUUAUUAGAAAUAAAUGUCAUGAAAAGGGUAACAAAAAAUUAUAAAUAGCGAUACAAAAAAUGGUAGGAAAAUAUUAAUUAUAAGUUCAAUCACCUCAGUGAACUCCUGAUUUGAAAUUAUAUCAAUUGAUAUGAUUUCUGUCUUGCUUAAAUUUAAAAUUUCUAGCAUAACUUCUGUUGUCCUUUUGCCAACUUUAUAUGGAUCAGCUGCUUUGCUUGUACCUGUAUACCAAAUUGUUAGAAAAAACUUACCAUCAUAUUUGUUACUAAUUUUCCAUUAUUUAUGUCAAACAGAGUAUAGAAGAGGGGGCAAUAGUCUAAAUAUUACCUACAACUUGGACUAGCCUAUACACAUCUUGCUUUUGUCCACUACCGGAAAUCCUUAUUCUCACAAAAGCACCAACCACCUUGUCAUGUAACUUUUCAGUAUCUUCAAUUAAAUCCUCCAUCAAAUUACGCCGUAAAUAAAUUAAGCUAAUGUUGUGGAUAUCAAUAGCUGCAUAAUCAUCAAGAUUUGAUUGAGAUCCUCUCUCAUCACCCUUUUUACGUGCUUUACGUCUCCUAUCUUUACCCACUUUCAUUAGGGUGUCGGUAUUACCAUCAACCUCCAACUGACUAGCUUCACUAUCAACAACACUCCCUUGUAGAUCAUCUGUCUGUGAAUCCUCUUUAUUAAGAAAGUGAGACUCAAGAAGUUUUAACAUUUCAAAAUGCCCAACACGUGGUUUUCCAAAAAGAUAUUCAAGUCUUGAAUCGCAAAUUAUUUGACUUUUUCGGCGAGGAUCACGAAGUUUGUUUCUUUUUAUAUAUUCUAGCAAGAGGGCUUGUACAUCAAACUGACUUGUAACGGAUUUGUCCCCAUUCUUCAUAUGCAUAACAAACUCCAAGAGCUCUUUUGAUGCCCACUCAGUGUUGGCAGGCGUAGACGUUCCUUCUGCUCCAAUUGCUGUUGCUACACUCGGUGAAUCCCUCUCCUUAUUGAGUGACUUCAACCGUUUCUUGGCCUUUCUUCUUUUGGGCUUCCUUGCUUCUACAUUUCCAGAGGAACUGUCUGAACCAGGACCACCAUCAUUGUAAACAUCAUUGGGUUCAUCCGGUGCUUCCUGUUUUCCAGCAGGUGCAUCAGACCCUUUCCACGGAUUUUUAGCCUGAGCAAGUUCAUCUGAUGUUAGAGAUAGCCUUCCUUUUAAAUCUAUCCAGUAAUCCUUGAAGAGGAACUCCCAGCUACUUUUGUCAUCGAAAUCAACUUGAUCCUACAAGAGCAAAACAAUCAAAAAAGGGGGAAAAUUAGAAUGCUGCAACAAGCACUACAAAACCAAACAAAAGUAUGCAUAUACUUAACAAGCACAAAAAUAUCCCUGCUCAGUCUCCAAAAGAGCAGAAUAAGCAGAAGAAAAAACCGAGAUUGAAAGAAUAUCAACCAAUUGACAUUAGUGCUAGAUUCAGGGGUCUACACCAUGUACAAGCAUAAGGAGAACACUAAUUUUUGAAACUUCUAGACGAGAAGAUAUCAUGCUGCUGCAGUCACAAACCAGCUCAACACUUGCCAGCAUCAACCCUAAGGGAUCACGUUCAUUUUAUGGGUUUGCGACAAAUUUAUCACUCGGAAACUAGAGGUCAUUCAACUUGACUCCACUCAACUAAAUAAAGCCUUAAACACCAUGUACUUGGGGUCAAUCACAUGAGUCUUUCUUUGCUAUUUCAACUCUAUAUAGGGCCACAUAAUCUGUAAAUUACAUGCACCUAUUGUCUUCCAACACCUCAAUCCACAUUCUCUUUUCAAAACUAUGGUUGAUAUGUGAUGAAGUCUUUAGAUUAUUUUUUAAUCUUGAAGAGCAAAAAAGUAGUGAAAAAAAUGUGCUGAUCUUAAAAAGCAAUAAAAUUGGCUAAAAGGUUGAGCAUCUAAGCAUUUGAAAACAAGUGGAAAUUAAGUAACCAGAAAAUAGCAUCCUGAUUGUAUGUUGAAAACUUGAAAGCAAGUUUUACUAAAUCUUUGUUCACUUGGUCCCAGGAUGCAGUAGUGCGGUGGUGAUAUUCUGGUUUGGGCAUUUAUCAGCCCAUACAACAGCUAUAACCCAAUAUUUGACCCUUUCUCUGCUAUCGACAACUUGCAUCUAUGAGAUGAGUUAUUCAACUUACAAUGCUGUUCAAUUUUACAACUAUGGUCCCAUAUUCUACCUACAUGCAAGUAGAAAAGAUUAUAGACAUGAAUUUCAGUAUGUUCAAACACAUUCAGUUUUUAGUAUGGAGCAAGAGUGCUCAAGGUGAAUGAAGAAAAAAUGGUGACAAUAGCCAAUAGCACUAACACCCAUGGUAGCAAAUCACCUUAUACUAUGAUUACAAAAGUAUAAAGAUAUUUUAAAAACUUGAAAAUCCUAGAUGCCCUUGAGAAACAUUCCACUUCAAUCCAAAUAUAAAGGAUGGCUAAGAAGAAACAACAUAAAAUAAAGAAAUGUUUCCACAACAUGAAACUAGACAAACAUCAAACUAUUUUCCUUAAAUUUUAUUUUUAUUUUUAUUUUUUUGAUAACAGAAGAACCUUCCAUGGCUAAGUCUUUAGGACUCUCCAUGAGGACCCAAACCUUGAGGUGUUGACCGCCCCACAACAACCAGCAUUGGGUAAAUUUAGGAUAUCAUCAGUGGUAGGAUUCAAAACCAAGACCAUGUGUCACUUACUAAGACCACACUUCUCAGUGUUCACCUUGACCAACUAGGCUACCCUGACGGAUUGUUUUCCUUAAAUUUUAAUUAACAAAUUGAAUAUCCAUAAUUUCAGCAUGAGAUAUCAUGACUCCAUUGCAUCUACUUUCACACAUUAAAAUGCUGCUACAGUUGCAUUUUUACAUUCUUGAAAAUGCCAAUGACACAUAAAAGAGAAAAAAGGUAAAAUGAGAGUACGGGAAAAAAAAAACCAGGAGAAUGAAAAAGAAGAGGCAUACAUACCAUUUCCUUGUUUCCCUGCUCAUUUUUUUCAAUCAACAUGAUAAUUUUCAUGCAUGCCUCACAGAAGCCUUUGUUUUCUCUAACACAAAAGAUAACAGAAUCUUUGAUGCAGUUCUUGCACAAGGAAAAUGGACAUGUCAAACACAUAUAAUAGGAAUUCUUCUCACAAGCAGUACAUUGAUGCCAACCUGAAAGAAAAUAAUAACUGAUUUAAUAAAAAAACAUUUUUAAAAUGUGAACUUCAUUGAAUAAAGAGUAAAUAGAUAGAACCAGACAAGCAAAAGGCAUGCAAAAUUAAGUGAGCCAAAAGCACAUGAACAGCCAGGAGAUAAUUCAGGUAAAUUUAACAGUAAACAUCAAAACACCCAGAAGUUCUUGGAUCAAGCUUGAAUUUGUGUGCGUGGAAUGACUGAGAAGAGACAACGAUCAUAAAGCAAGUGCAAAGCAAAACAGGAGAAAAUUAUCUCAACUAGGAGCAAUGUGCAAGGAUCCAUUCUAGUUUCCUAGUCUGCCAACAGAAUAUAAAUAUUUAGUGGACUGGGAGUGUAGAAUUUGGAAAAACAAUUAGUUCAUAUAUUCAUUACUUUGGAAAUCUCUGUCCCAAAUAUUUUAAUAGAAAUGUUACAUUUAUUUCAUCCAAGAUAUCAUGAGGACGAUCAUAUCUUAAGUUUGAUUGUUGCAGCUCUUCUGCAUUUUAAGCCAGAAUGCUCAAACAGACUGGGCAACCCCAAAAGAAGAUUUAUCAUAACCAAUUAAUAUAAAAACGAUGUGGCAGUCAUAUUAUGUAUAGCACAAACAUCACACAUCAAAAAUCAAGAUUAGUCAAUCAGAAGUUGGAAGUACUGCUUUACAAUGUGAAUAGAGAGGUAGUUUAGAGAGAUUUUUUGGAAGAUUCAAUAUCAAUAAGAAAAUCAAUAGCUCUAAUGUAGUUACAUUCCAUAACCCCACCAGAUACAUUCCAUUAGUGAAUGGGACGAAUUCUUGCCAUAUCACUAGCAUUCGUCUGUUUACAGUGGAAAGCACAAAUAUAUCUAUAUACUAAAAAGAUAGUUGAAGGCAUCUCUAAGCUCCAAACACCUAAUGUAAUGUGUCCUUUUUAUUUCAAACAAAAAAAGAAGGGAAAAAAACACUUAAAUGAGUACCAAACCCCCUAAUUGGGUAGUUUUUAAAAUAUAAUUUUUCAUUUUCAAUGUGCAGCCACAUGCCUCCACCAACUGCCCUUGUUUCUGCAGUAGCACAGCGACUAACUUGUUCUCCAGACCCUAAACCAUUACCCUCCUUCUUGACCCAACCCUAAUUUCCCAAAAGGAACUCCACACUUGUGCAGCAGUACUGCUAGUUGUAUCUUAUACUUCAAAACCGGAAAACCUAACACAAAUGCUAUUUAAAAAUCAACUUUAAGGCCCAGAACAACACCAACACUAUGAACCAAAAACCACAAUGAUCAUCAAAAACCAAACACCUAAUACACUAUUCAUCGGGGGGGAAAAGAAAACAAAUUGAUUAAAGGAAAUUAAGAAUGUAAAGAAAUUGGAAAUGAAUGCAGUAGAGAAAUUGAAGAAUUGCCACUAGAACUUACCACAAUUCCAUAGACUGGGAAUGCAAAUGAGAAAUUGAAGAAUUAAUAGUAAAACUUACCACAAUUCCAUUUGCCCUUGGCUCGAAAGAAUUCCUCGUCACGAUUAACACACGUAGUAUGGUAGGCCUUAGGGCAUCCCCUGCAAAAAGAAAAAAAAAACCCAAAUCAAUCUCAUUCAAUUAUAAAUAAACCCCCAAGAAACCCGCAAACAUAACCGAAACACAGACAGCAUAAACCCUAGAAAAUCGCACGAUUCAAUUACCCAAACCUCACCUGCGAUCACAGAGCACAAGAUCACCGCCAUCGAAGCAAAUGAAGCAAACGUCCUCCUCAAACGACUUCUUCAGCGGAGCCCGCGCUGGAACCCUAGGAUUCCGGCCCCUCUUCCUCCUGCCCCCGCCGCCUCGACCUCCCUCCGCGACCUCCACGCCGGCCUCCGCCUCCGCCUCAGCCUCUGCCUCCGCCUCCGCCUCCUCUCCCGCGAUCGCCUCCACGUCCUCUUCCUCCUCCGGCUCCGCAACAGCAGCAGGAGACGCGGCGCCCACAAGCUGCGAAUCGUCCAGCUCUGAAACGACGUCGCAUUGGUCGAUGCUUUGCGGAAGCACUUCGUCACCAAUGGCCGAGUCCCCUUGCCGUGGAGAGGGCGGUUUGUAGCCGUCGUUUAAAGCGUCGUCUUCCUCCUCCAUUAAGGAUUCAAACCCUACAAUCAAACCCUAGCUUCUCCUUGUUGCUCCGCUCCCCCCACUCGAACGCGACUGAUUUGUACGGAAUCCAAGCGAAAGAGAGAAAAUACUUGCAGUUCGCAAGGAGGAGAACCCAAAAACACACAAAAAAAUAAAUAAAUUAUUAAAAAAAAAAAAACCUACGUUAUUUUGUUUGGAUUUGGGUGCGUGAGGGCGCCGAAAAUGUCCGGUUUUAUUGUUGAAAUAUCGAAUAUGCCCCUACACCCCUUGUGUUGUCCGCCUUAGAGCUAUCCAGUGGCGGCGGCUUCACGGUGUCUGCGGCAUGACCGUGUGAUUUCACCGAGAGUUCAUCAACGGUUGGUAUGUGUAGCUUGACGGAUCAGAGUGGCUUGUGUGGGCCCCAAAGGACCGACCUUCACCAUUGAUGAGAGAGUCCACUCUGAUCCUCAGUGGAUUCGUUUCAAACAUUUUACUUCCUCAAAAAGGUCAAAAGAAAAAUUAGUAAGACUUUUUAUUAACUUUAGAAAUACUUUAUGUUAAAAGAUGCAUCGGACAGAUCUAUUGGUUUUUUUUUUUUAAGCUUAUCAUAAAUUAAUAUAAGUUACUGAUAAAUUGAUUUUAAAAAGAGGGAAAAAAAAAACAAUUAGAUUUAUGGUUUUAUGUGUUGUUUAAAAUAAAUCUAACAUUUAAUUUUUGUCAAUUAUGUGUGUGAUUAAAUAAAACUUAAAUAUAAAUAAUAUGACUAAAAUAAAAUAAAGCAUUGUCAAGGUCAUAUCAAUAAAAAAAUUAAAUUGGAGUGACUUUUGAUUUGGAGAAUUAGUUGUGUGUGUUAUUUUUAAUUAGUGGUUGUGAUAAUUGUUCAAUCACUUCAAUGAUUUGAUAUAACAUAUAUUAUUCGUCGAAAACAAAUUAGGUGAGAAAUGGCUCUAAAAGUAAGGGUGGCCGAAAAAUCAUCAAAAGGAAAAAUAUAUAUACUUGGUAGGAGAGUAAAAACGUAAUAAUUAUAUUUCUUUGUUUUGAGGAGAGUUUAAGGUUAAUGAUGGGAUUUUCUUAAUCAAUAUUAAUACUUACAAUGUUUAUUAUUAUUAUUAUUAUAGUCAAUUGAAUAUAAAAUGAUUAACUCGUGUCAAACUCAUAUAUCUUUUAACUCAUAUAAUGUUAAGUUAUAAAUCACUAACAUGUACAUAAUUUAAAGUCAUACAAUUGUUGACUCGAUGAAUCUCGAGAUACGUUAGUCUAGGUAUCUUUGAUCGAAGGCGGAGGUACUUGCACUCAAAUGGAAAGUAUUGAAUUCAAAUCAGAGAUGCCUAAACCCGAAUGGGAUGUACUUGUACUUCAAUUGAAAACAUCUAAUCACAUACAACCUUAGAAAAGUUAAUGAGCCAAAUACUCUCACGUUCUUGAGAGAUGGCUCUCAAAAAAUAAUGAAUCAUAAAGUUUGUAGCCAAAUAAACUAGUAAGAGUUGCUCGACGAAUCCACUUAGGCAUGAUCCAUUUGGUGGACCAUCACGAAUCAUCGACCAAGAAUAGAUUCCAAUGACAACAAGUCUACAAGGAACAAAUACCAAGGUACCAUCUACUCAUGAUCAUAUACAAAAAUCUAAUAUCAAGAUGAAGACUAGUCCCAUCAAUAAAAAACAUUCAUGUGGCUCCACCUUACGCUACCUAACACAAACCUUAUCAACAAAUAUUCGAUAGUGUAAAAAUUAUUAUAAGGAAAUUGUAAAAAAUUAUUAUAAGGAAACUGUCAUAAACUCAAGUUACUUAAACUUAUUAGAUAACCCUAUAAAUACCCCCAUUGAGGAUUAGGGUUUUCAUAACUUUUCCAUAAAGUUAUCUUUUACCUUCAGAGAUAAGAAGAGUCAUACUCUCAAUUCACUAUUUCUUCCCUCUAUCAAAAGUAUGUCAAGAUCAAAGAAGAGUCAUUGAACAAAAGAUCUUAAGUUUAUAAGACUUCCGAUAACGUCGAUUUGAUUCUUCAACACUUGGAUUCAAAGUUUAAGAACAUCCAAACCUAAAAACUAAUAUUUUAACUCUAAAAAAUCAAUUUAUUAAAAAAUUGAUAUUAUUUCCAUUACUUAGAUUUAAGAUGCCAACAAUUAGUAUCAAACCCAAAAAAACACCAAGUCUUUUCCAAAAAGAAUUAAAGAAGGAAAAUAAAAAGAAAACGCUUCCAUUGCUCACGGAGAAGAUAAUAUCCAUUUCAAGUGUUGUGACCAUUGAAAGAAGCUUUGAGUAGUUGUCAUCCUAUACCAACCAAUACGCAGCAAUGUCAGUAUCAAUCCAUACCAUACUUUGAAAUAUGUUCCCACGAGGUACUAUGAAUUCUCAUAUAUUAUUGAAUAAAGCAAUUAUUUGAACGUCCCUAUGUAUAAAUCAUAUUAUCAAUUAAUUAUUGAUUUAACACCAUAAACUCAAACUUCAAUGACUCUAAAACAAACACUCAUUGGUUUAAGAUAAUUAAAAAUAAUAAACCCUAAUCUAAGAUACUUAAAAAAUUAGAAACAUGAGAGUUUAUAUUUUUCAUAUGUAAAAUAAAUCAAUAGAUAAGAUAAUAAAAAUUUGUAAAUAACUAAUAAUAAGUGGGUUUAGAUUUCCACAAAGGCUCAAACCUUAGCCUAAUAUCUUUGGAUUGCUAUAUAUUUUUUUUCAAUCGAAGUCGAGUUUGGACCCCAAACCCAAAGGGAGGUGCUUUUAUAAAACAAAAGGAGGUAUUAUAGUUCUAAGCAGAUGGGAAGGCACAAUGUCAAAACCACAACAUUCAAACCACAUAAAGUUCAGAGUUCCAACAACGCAAAUAUGUAUCAUGUUUCAACCUAAACCUAAUCUGAAAACUGGAUGAGCAAUCUCUCCUCAAAGGAGGAGCAGAAUCAGUCAUAUAUGAACUACCAGCCAUAAAAUUGAUAUCAGUACCUCCUGGGAAAGCGGUCCAUAAACCUCCCAGAAGGACACUCAAAUGCCAUGUGACCUCGACCUCCACAGUUGCGACAGAUCAUCAAGGGGGCCGCGCAAUCCCUGCUCAUAUGACCCAGCUGCUGGCAGUUCCUACAUACAAUGUCUCGGAACCCACUGCUGCGAGGCCCACCACCCCUGUCUCCCAGAACGUUAGCCUUGGGACACUGUCUAGCCACAUGCCCAGAAACAUUGCAGAGGUUGCAUACAGGAUCAUUGCGACAAUCGCGUGCCAGGUGACCUGUUUUCCUACAGUUGUUGCAAGCCUUGUCAUUUGUGCAGUCAGCAGCAAUAUGGCCUUGCUUGUAGCAGUUAUUGCACAGCCUCAGGUCCCCGGGGGGAACUGGGGGAGCUGAGCAGUCUCUAGCGAGGUGUCCAGUCUUACCACAGGUGUGGCAGAUGCCCUCGUUUGGACAAUUGCUAGCUGUAUGGCCUGGUUCUUGACAGUUCCAACAUAGUGAUCUCGUGGUGCAUUCUGAUGCAAUGUGCCUGCUCAGAAAUUUGGAUGCAUGAUUAAGAUGAAAACCCAACCACUAAUAACAUAAAACCAUUAAAAUUUCGGGUUCUAUAAGUUUAGAAACCCAAAUUUGCUUCAAUAGGGAUAAGAUCAAGAAGACUUCAUUCUCAUAGUAGACAGAUGGUAAUCAAUUUUUUUUUUUUUUAUAAGUAAAGAAAAUUCAUUUAUAAAGAGACGCCAAAAGAGCGACUCAAGGUAUACAACCUAUGUAAGGUAUACAAACCUAUACACCCACCACCAAAAGAGGCCAAAGACAAAUAAGAGACCCACCAACCAAAAGGCCCAAAACCUUACAAUGAUCCCAACCAAUCUAUAAAAUUCACCAAAGUUUGAGGGCAUUCUACUAUGAACAGCUUUGCCUCAGACCAAAGCGAGCAUAAAAAGGAAUAUUUCAAUCUCUGUAUUGAUAUUUCAUCAUCCUUGAAGGCUAAUCGAUUUCUCGCCUUCCAAACCGUCCAAAAAAUAUGCAGGGGAGCCGCUUUCCACACUUUCCUAUGAUUCUUGCCCACAGAAGAAGUCUGCCAACUGAGCAAAGUCUCUCUCACUGAACACGGCAACACCCAAGACACCCCAAACAAAGAAAAAAGCAACUCCCAUAAGACCCUUGUUUUUGAGCAAUGGAGAAGCAGAUGAUCUAUGGUCUCCUCCUUUUCAAUACACAUGUAACAUCUAUUUGCCAAUGACCAUCCUCUUCUCUGAACAAGAUCUAGGGUAAGCGCCUUACCCCAUGCAGCCUCCCACGCAAAAAAGCUAAUUUUGGGUUGUACCCACACCUUCUAAAUACAGCUAGAUGGGAAAGAACUAGGGCAGUCCGCUUCUAGGGCAAGGUAUAGAGACUUAGCCGAGAAAAUGCCGCUCUUUGUUUCAGUCCAAACAGCCUUAUCAUCUACAUCUCCAAGGACUCUCUUCCCGUGAAGACACCCCAAAAAUAAUUCCACUUCCUCCACCUCUCAGUCGUUUAGGGCUCUUGAAAAACAAGGGUUCCAACCCCCCCUACCCCCUUGCACCAAGGGAUCCCAAACAUCCGCCACCCAAGCUUCCUUUUCAGUCGAUAAUGCAUAGAGGGAAGGAAAUGACUCGCACAGAGGGGCAUUCCCACACCAUCUAUCCCUCCAAAAACUCAACCUCCUUCCAUUGCCAACACUAAAAGAAAUCCGCGCACCCACCAAGUCCCAGUCCAUUCUUAUACCUUUCCAGAGCCCCACGCCAUGCGCCUCUCUCACUUCCCGAGUGCACCAACCCCCUCUAUCUUCCCCAUACUUUCCUCUAAUCACUUGAUUCCACAAAGCCUCUCUCUCGUUUGCAAAACGCCAAUUCCAUUUAGAAAGGAGUACCUUAUUGAGAAUGGAAAGGCAUUUGAUCCCUAAACCCCCUUUCUUCUUGCUUAGGCACACCACCUUCCAUCUUACUAAAUGUGGUUUUCGCUCCAAACUGCCACCGCCCCAAAGGAAAUCCCUUUGGAUUUGUUCAAGUCUUCUUCUAACUGAACUUGGUAAUCUCAGUACAGAUAUAUAGUAAAUGGGAAGGUUUGACAAAGUACUUCGGAUCAAGGUUGCUCUUCUUCCCUUGGAUAAGUAUUGUCUCUUCCACAUAGUCAAUCUUUUGUGGAACCGCUCUUCCACUCCAUCCCACACUGCCACUGACUUAAACGGAGCACCCAAAGGAAGACCCAAAUAAGUGGACGGGAGACUACCCACUUUACAUCCAAAAUCCAAGGCAAGAUCGUCAAUAUCCAUUACCCUCCCUACUGGAAUGAGUUCACUCUUGUCCAAAUUAAUUCUCAUUCCCGAAGCGGCCUCAAACCACAUUAGCAGCCAACUUAGGUAAGUCAGCUGAUCUUGGGAGGCUUGGCAAAAUACCAAAGUGUCAUCGGCAAACAACAAGUGUGAAAUCUGAGUCCCGCCUUCAUUCCUUCCCUUCACCUGACAGCCCGAAAUGUAACCAUUGUCCACAGCCCUUUUAAGGAACGAGCUGAAGACCUCCAUGGCAAUCACAAAGAGAUAAGGCGAUAGAGGAUCACCUUGCCUUAAGCCCCUGGAGCUUUGGAAAAAACCCUUAGGCGUUCCAUUGAUCAACACAGAGAAGCUUGCAGUGGAUAUGCACCACUUGAUCCACCCUAACCAUUUCUCCCCAAAACCCAUUUUCUUCAUUACUGUAAGAAUAAAGGACCAAUCCACAUUGUCAUAUGUCUUCUCUAUGUCAAGUUUGCACAAGAUCCCAUUUUCAUUGUUCUUUAGAAUCGAAUCGAUGGCUUCAUUAGCUAUUAACACCGCAUCUAGAAUUUGUCUUCCCUCCACAAAAGCCCCUUGAGCCUUAGAAACCACCUUUCCAACCGCUCUUUUAAGUCUAUUGGCUAAAACCUUAGCCAACCACUUGUAUAGGCUUCCCACUAAACUUAUGGGCCUGAAAUCCCUCAAAUCCUCAGCCCCCAUUUUUUUUGGGAUUAAAACCAAAAAAGUAGUGUUUAGCCUCUUAACAAAUUUACCAUGUUCAUGAAACUCCCUAAAGAAUCUCAACACAUCUUCCUUCACAAUAUCCCAUGCAAACUGCCAAAAAGACAUUGUAAAUCCAUCAGGACCCGGGGCUUUGUCCCCACUACAGCCUACUAGCGCACCAUGUACCUCUUCUUCCGUGAACGGCACCUCUAAAGCAUCAGCAUCUAGGUUCUGUAGCUGUUCACACUGCAGUCCAGCCAAAGAAGGGCGCCAUUCCCCCGGGUUGGACAGCAGGGUUCUAAAGGCAUUUACUAUCCCUUCACUCAUCCCAUUCUCCUCCGACUUCCACACACCAUUAAUUCUUAUUCGUUCCAUGUUGUUUCUUCUCCUAUGAGCAUUGGCCAUCCUGUGGAAGAAGCUCGUAUUUCUGUCCCCUUCUUUCAACCACACUUCCCUAGAUUUUUGUCUCCAAGUAACCUCUUCUAAGAGAACCCAUUUUUUGUAUUCUUCCCUCGCCUCUCUUCUAGCCUCCAUCUCUUCCAAUGUCAAUCGGUUUGUCUUCUCCUUUGCAUCCCAGAACUGCAUCUGGUCCAAAGCAACAUUUUUCCUAUACUCCACCCUGCCAAAAACGUCUCUGUUCCACUCCUUCAGUUUAGUCUUCACCACCUUUAGUUUUUCAGUCAGGACAAAGCUUGCAGCACCAUUGAAAUUAUCCCCCUCCCACCAGGCUUUCAAUAGAUCCUUAAACCCCUCCACCUUAAGCCACAUGUUCUCAAAUCUGAAAGGGGAUGGACCAUUUCUCAAGCCCCCUCCUUCUAACAGAAUUGGGAAGUGGUCUGACACUGGUCUCGGUAGAACGUUUUGCCUUGAAUGGCUAAAACGGCAAUCCCACCCCUCAUUGACCAGGAAUCUAUCUAAUCUUGACAGGGUCUGGUUGUUCGCCCCUCCACUCCAGGUGAACGGACCCCCAAAUAGAGGCAAGUCCUUUAACUGUAAUUCUUCAAUUACAUCUGCGAAUCUUCUCAUAUCUGAGUUAUAGCUCCCUCCUCUACUGUGCUCUUCAGGACUUAGAAUAGCAUUAAAAUCCCCAGCAACACACCAUGGCCCAUUCCAAAGGCCAUGGAUGGCCCCCAGCUCAUUCCAGAGACUUUCCCUUUCUCUCCUCUUAGUCAGACCAUAAACCCCUGUGAAGGUCCACAUAAAGCCAUCCUCACAAUUUUUAAAAUGGCAAGAGAUUGAACAUUCUCCCUUUUCUAGCUCGAUCAUCUCCAGCAUCCUGUUAUCCCAAAACACCACUAUGCCGCCCGCUGAACCCCUUGAGUCCACAGUUCCCCAAUCUAGGAAUCUUCCCACCCCUAUACUCCGAAUAAUCCCUCUUGUCAUCUCCUGUAUUUUUGUUUCCUGCAGACAGACCAAAUCUACCUUAUUCUUCUUAAUCAAGGCUUUAAUCACCUUUCUCUUGUCACAGUUAUUUGCCCCUCUAACAUUCCAAGAAAGAAUUCGGAUC